rnacentral:lncRNA from 1 species
GUCUCCUCAGGAGGUUGAGAUGUGGGCAAUUGAAUGGUGGCAUCCAUGCCCUUGGUUUGCAUCUCCUGUUGAACAUCCUCACCCCCUAAUCCUUUAUGGUCACCCUCAGUCUCUAUCUAUAGAAUCUCUGCCUCUUACUCAACCCGGUCUUCAUUCAUAGCAGGACCCUUUCUUUUUCUUUCCAAUGAUCCAUUAGGCAAUUUCUCAAACAGCAUUCGGUCUGGAUUUUACGUUAUAGGUAUCAUAGGAUGAGGCCUGAAUGUUUUUUUCUCUUCUUAUGUCCACAUUGAAUGCUUUCAGGAUUUUUGUGAUCAGUCUUCUUCCGUUGGCCACUACUUUAGAAUUGCUUUUACAACAGUUUUUCAUGUGUUGAAAGAUGAUAAGGAAACCUUAGAAUGGAUCGGAGUCAAUAGAAAAUGCUACAUAAUAGGACACCUUGUCUCUAUGUCCACCCUUAGGUAGAAAAAUAUGUUUGAUCAUGUGGUGGUGCACCCUAGAGAUAAUGCUCAAGGCAUGGGCAUGGAGCUUUGAAGUCACUGUGUCGAUGGGUAAGUUACAUAUCCUCUAGAAAGCCCUACCUAGGUUAAAACUAGACACUAUAGGCCAUCCCUUCGUCUCAAAUAAACAAAGUCCCCCACAAAGGAUCUCCAAAAUAUCACAAAGCAUAUCAAUAUUUAGUUUAAUUCAACUCCUCUAACAAAUGUGCUAAUUGGCCUUCAUAUAUUUUAGGUUCAAGUAAAAUACCUGAACAAGGUUGGGGUAUGUAGGCUCUCUUGAUGAGAUGGUAUUGGUGAGUAUUUUUUUUUCUUCAAUACAAAACUAUUACAACACUUGGUUUUUUUUUUUUCUAAAAAAAAAAGAAAAAUAAAAAUAGUUUUAUAUUAUACUUAGUUUCAAGAAAAAUAAUAAUCAAAGCAAAAUGAAAAAAAAAUUCUCAUAUUGGUUUCUCGUGAAAAAUAUAAAAGCAAAUAAAAUACAAUUAAAAUUAAUUAAAAUCUUAUGUAUUUUUAAAUUAUUAAUUUUUAUAUAAAAAAUGAAAAAUAGUAUAAUGAAUUUAGAAGAAUAUAUAAAAAUAAUGUAUUAACUUUAAAUCUUUUUUUCUUUAUAUAUAUAUUUUCCCUUCAAUUUUCUAAUACCAACACAUAAUAAGGUUAAUGUCUUCUAGCCAACCAAUUGUAAGUCAAUUUUCAUAGAGCUUUUUUUUUUUUUUUUUUUUACAUGCCACCAAGUAGUUAUAUAAGCAUUUUUGCAUGUUAUUGUUAUCCAACAUACAAUAACUAUAACAUCCAAUUAUUAUGAACAUGAACAAUAAAAUUAGAUGCAACUAACUAUUUAGUGUAUAACAAGAAGUUGGUGAAGUAAUUCAUCCUAACAUGAUUCAACAAUUUUUGUUUAUUUUUCAAGAUUAAUUAUAACAUACCCAUUCUAUUAAAGUUGUUGAGAUAUUUGAGCAAAACUAAAAAUCAACAUUAAUUCAUUUUAUACCCACAAGAGAAAUAAGAUUUGUUUUUUUGUUUGAUAAUAAAGUAGUUGUAGUUAUUAAUGAUAAUUUUGAUCCUAAUUUAAUAGGUAUCCAAAAAAAAAGGAAAAAUGCAAGUAAACCAAUUCUUAUCUAACACAAUUAUUACCACCUUAAAAUCCUGAGGGGUAGCUCAGUUGAUCAGUUCGAGUCCCUUUAGGACCAUGAAAAGCUUACCCGAUGGUUCACCUUAAGAAAAGCAAAGCAUUUAUAUAAUUCAACUGGUAGUUGAUAAGUCUUAGAAAGGGUUUUGCCAUCAUUGGCUUCUCAGUAAAGGGCAAAUUUGGGUUGUGGCUGACAAUUAUUGAAUUUGUGAAGAAAUAUGUGAAGAAAGGAAACAAAAAGAGUUGAGGACAGAAUUCUUCAAUUAAAAAAUGGUUAGCCCAUGAACCCAUUCUUCAAACAGUAAGCCAAUGAGCCAAUGAGCCAAAAAGAAAGAAGAACAGCUGGUUUCAUCUUUUUAUCUUAAUGACUUUGACAACCCAUCUUUCUUUUAAAUACUUGUGACUUUGGAAUAUAAUUAAAAUGAAACUUUGGAAUGCCCACAUCUGAUUCACGGCCUUUUUACCUGUUUUCUUGUUUAACAUUUUUUUAAAUAUUAUAACAGAUGGAAAAACAUGAUUCUAACAGGCUGGAAAAUAGUGGAAGUUGGAACACCAACCAUAACCAAACUAUACCUUCCAUCUUUCUCCAACACUCGGAAUUAUUGAUACAAGUUGGUGGUUUUAUGAUUGUUUCUAUUGAGGGGACCCCUCUCCAUUUCCAAUUUCAAUGGAAAGGUUCUUCUUUCCCUACUUUUUUUUUUUGUUUUUCAAAUUCUUGUAGUUUUGUCUGUCUCUCUCAACAAAGCAAACUGCAAUCACUAAUUCAAAGAAAAGGAAUCCUAAAUGAAAAGAAAAGAAAGGAAAGGAAUGGUAAUUUAGGCUAUGAUGAUGCUCCUAUAUAAUGGCUGUAAGUCAAUAACAACACACUGGACCCGCCUCCUAUCUCAAAAGAUCACAAACCCAAAUAUCAUAUACUUCCAAAUUUCAAUUUGGUUCCCUGUUUAUAUCACAAUCUGUCCUAUAUCCUCUUAAUACAUCUAAAAUCUCUCUAUAUCAUAAAAAUAAUGAUGGAAAAAAAAAUUAAAAAGAAAGAAGGAAAAAAUGACAAAAAAAAAAAAACCUUGGUGCUGCUAUGGGUCCAUAGGAAUUGGCAGGACUGCACUUCUGGAUCCCCUUCCAUGGCCAAAAGAAAAGAAUGAUCUUCGGAAUCUGCUGCUGCAACCUUCACUAGGGCUGAAGUCACUGACAGGCCUGUUCUGUUGCAAAAUCUCUUGAAUUGCUAAAUACAGCUGCCUGUCGUUGGAUGAGUCCAUUGAAAAAGACCUCCUGAUGGGUUGGAUUGAGAACUGAUCAUCUUUGCCUCUAGUGUCAAUGCACUCAUCACCCAUGCUUGCAACAUGAUGAAACUUCCUUGCCUUUUUAGGCACAAUUCUCUGCUCUAGCUUCCUAGGUGAUGGACUAAUUGAUGGCGCAGAUAACUCUCUGGAAUUCAGUCUUUCUGGUGGCCUAAGCAGUGAUGAAUCAGCAGAACUAUCAUUUCCCAAUUCAAUUACUACAAAAUCUUCAUCCCCUCCUAUGUAAUUAUUGGCGUAGGGGCUUGGAUCUUGGGGGGAAGAGCUAGGAGCAAUGAUUUGGUGAACAGGAAACCGGGGUGUGGUUGAAAUGCUUGUUCUGCAAAGUGGGCAAUUAGCAUUGCUUUGAAGCCACACGUCUAUGCAAUCUAUAUGAAAUAUGUGACUGCAGUUUGGUAUGAUUCUUAGCUUCUCUUCUUCUUGAAACUCAUUCAAGCAAACCGCACACUCGCAAUGGCUUCUUUCUCCAAACUCUCUGCCACCUCCUUUCCUGAACUGGAAUAUUGGGAUUGAUCUGAUGACUGACUCGUCCAGGCCUCGACUCUCGAUUGCUGGGGAGUACACCAUUAAAGGGUCUUCCGGGUGCCGACUCCUUGAGAAAGAAAAUCGUCUCAGCAGAUCAAUCCGGUGCCAAUUGAGGCAGCAUUUGAUUACAAAGAUGUAGUAGCUCACCAGCAAGAAAGCAGUGGCCAGGAUUCCUAUUACGGCAAUGGCUAUAAUGGGGAAACUGGUGUCCGAGGAAUGAGAGGGAGAAGGAAGCACUGAGCUCGCCUGGCUUUUGAUGGGAGAAAAGGCUUGUGAUCCAUGGAUGGAGGAGUCUGUGCUCACAAGAUCCAUGAGAGAGGCUAUGAAAAACAUUUAGAAAUGAGUCUAUUCGGAUCUUCAAUUCACAGAAACAUGCAAAUGCUAGAAUAAAAUCGACAGACACUCAGAUAUAGACCCUACAGUUGUAAUGCAGCAUACCAUAAAUGUGAUUGAGUGAGUGAGGCUGAAACAGCAAAUGGGUCACUUCAAGAUCUCAACAAGACAGAAAACCCAUGUUGAAUUCACCAGGAGAGUAUUGAAAAGGGAAAAAUUAAGGACAUAUAGCUGUAUUGAAAGUUGAAACAAAUGCAGAAACAUAGAGAAGAGAGAGAGAGGGAGAAAACCCAGGAGGGUUGAAUGAGAGCGCUGCUGGGGAAGACAUCAAAACGCUUCAAAUUCAAUGAGAAUCUGUUGGGGACCUCUUUAAGAGGACUGCACAAAGCCUGAGCGUAGGGUACGUGGUUGGUUGGUGAAUUUCUCGGCUUCCAAAAGAGAAAUUUGGUGAGAAAAUUUUCAAGUCUCUUGAUUAUAGUAACGUAGCGUUUAUUUUAAUUUUAUGUAACCGAAACUAAUGGGCUGGUUCAAAAAAAUAAAAAAUAAAAAAAGGAACUUUCUAGGAUAGGCCAGCAGUCCACCGUUGGUCAUGUGGUUUCUUUUGCAUGUCCACAUCUUCCAACUAGUGGAGGUCCCUGUCACAACAGUAAGAAAACACCCAAUUGAAUAAAAGUAUGAACUUUUGGCUCCCAAUAUUACUUAUGCCCUCAUUCAAUACCUCAAAUAAAGCAGAGAUUUUGUGUCCCAACUUUUAUGAUUUCAUUUCAUCUUACUUCAAAUGCUAAUGACAAAAGUCCAAGUAUAUUCUGUAAUCACCCACACCCCAAUAGUUUUGAAUCACACUUGAAAUAGUUCCCAUGCUUUCUUAAUAAUUUAGAUAAUUAUUUACAGAAAAAAAAAUUCAGAACAGGAUGAUAAUCAUUUUGUGAUAGCAUGGAAGAAACUUUACUAGCCACUUUGGCCCCAUGAAGUUGAGUACUUGAUGCCAAUUAAUGGCAGGGUGGAAAAUAGAGAAAAGGGAUCAUAGUCAAAUCUAGAGUACAAGGCAUUGAAUCUUUGUUAAUAAUUAACAAAUGGGUAAAGCAUGGGUCACAGGGUCUACAGUUUGGAUUGCAAAAACCUCAGGCUUCUAUAAAAAGCUCAUCCAUUAUCAAUCAUCAAUCUGAAAGCCAGAAAGUCCAAGGCACAUGCAACCCACGACAGGGGUAAGAUUUCUGCAUCAUGUCCCUGAGUUGCAUUCACAUCAUAUGUUUCCCUCCGGGCCGUUCCAAUUUGAAAUCUCAUGGAAAUCUUCAAGAGCAAGGCUACAGAGUUUAAGAUAAUACUAGGGGUGGGUCCUGAUGGGAAAAGAGGUAGUGUAGGAUAGUCAAUAAAGGGCAUGUGUCUCUGGUGUGAAGUCAAAUCCAGUGUACCAUCCUCAAUGGAAAAUUUAGAAAUAGAACCGACACUCUACAGACUGCCGUGUUGACAGAUUAGAGAAAGACAAACCCACUUACACUUGCCUCAAAACCCAGUCCUGCCAUUUCAAAGGCAAAAAAAAAGGGUUUCUUUUUAUAGUCAAAGGUUGAGGCCUGGCCUGGCCUAGCAAAGAAACUUCACCUACUCUUUUCUUAUUUUUCAAAUUAAGGCCAUUCAACUUUUCCUGUUUGCAGGCUUGCUGCCAUAUCUUACUCCAAAAAAGGUGAAAACCCAAAAGAAAAAGAGUGUUUGCUUCAAUGGAAAACUCAUGUUUAAUAAAUUCACCGCACGAGUUUUGUUCCAGCUUUUCCUAUGAAAGCUGUGAUGCGUUUGGUAUGAAGUUGAUUUUGUUCCUAAAAAUUUUGAUCUUGGCGUGGAAGGCAACUUUUUCCUUUUCCCCCUUUUUCUUUUUGAAAAGUUCGGCAUUAGUUACCAAAUGUCCUUUUACUUGCAUGUAGGACAGCGGAAGCAUUACACAUCGCAGCAAAAUCCCAUUUACCCGAAUUUUCCACUAACUCUUUUUAUUUUUUACCAUCAUUUUUUAAUAGAAGUGAUGCACUCUUCAAAUUACAUGAAGCUUUUAAGAAGGUAAUAACCCGUUUCAAAGCGAACUUAACCUACAGAGUAUGUUUUAAAAAUAUUUAGGUAUUUGAUAAAAUUUAAAAAAUAUUUUUUAAAAUCUUUAAAAUGAUUUGUAAUAUUGAAAAUUUAUUUAUACUUUUUUUAAUAAAAAAACAUUUUAUAGGUAAUUUUUCUAAAAUACUUUUAGAGAAAAUGUCUUCCCUUCACUAUAAAUAUUAUAUACUAUCAAAUACACUUUAAAAAUCUGUUUAACAAUAAUUUUAUAAAGUGUUUUUAAUUUUAAAAAUAUUUUUAAAAACAAAUUAAAUUUUUGAUAAAAUUUAAAAAAUCUUUUUAAAAAUUUUGAAAAAUAUCUCGUAAUAUUAAAAAAUAUAUAUAUUUAUAAUGUUUUUUAUAUAAAUACUCAAAAUUCAUUUAAUAGUGAUUUUAGGAAAUGUUUUUAAUAUUUCUAAUACUUGAAAAUUUUUUAUCAUUUAAGUAUUAAAAAUAUUAAAAACACUUUAUAAAAUCACUUUCAAAUGGACUCUUAAUGAUUUUACUAAAAACACUUUUCAUAGAAAACAUUUAUAAAAAAUAAUUAUGAAAUACACUCUAAAUUAAGUAAAAGUUGUUUUUAACAUUACCACUAUUUAUUAAUAGUGCAUUUGUUUAAAAUAUUUAUAUGAAAAAUUCAUUAGGGUGGGAUAUAAAUAUAGAAGUGUUUUUCUUUAUAUAUUUUUUAUAAUAAAAAAUGAUUUUUGAAAUUAUAAAAUUUGAAUUUAAGAAUCAUUUGAUAAUAAUUUUUGUUAAAGCACCUUUAAUACGUGGUGCUUCUAUUGAUAGCGCUUUCAUUUCUAUGAAUGGCUAUAAAUUAUAUUUGAAUAAAUUUUUUAUAAUGUAUUAUAUAAUAAAAAAAAAGUCAUUUUUAAAAAAAUUAUACAUUAAAUGAUUAUUCAAAUAGUAUUUCCUAAAUUUUAUUAAACAUUUUUUUCAAAAAAAAAAAAAAAGUUUUCAAAUACUAGAAAACGUUUUUAAUCUCUCACACGAUCACAUCCAAACAAGUCCUAAUGCUACUCCUAGAAACACUCCAAAACAAAAGUCUUCCUCUAUUAAUGUUCAUAAAAUCCACAUAUAUUCUUCCAUCGUUUUUUCAAAAUUCAAAAUCAUUUCUAAAACAUCAAAUCAUGUUCUUUGGAUUGGCUGACUUGUUUUUUGAAAAUAGAAGGCUCAUUAUUGACGUCCGUUGACUUCAUAACCCAGUCUUGAUCUCUUGAUGGAGGGCAUAAAUGUAAAUUGGACGAAACCCUAGGGUGCGCUAGAGUGUAGAGGAUGAAAGGUUGGAAAAAGGAUGAGGUGGGGGUGUAAUAAAGAGGAGGGUUGGGAGAAUGGGACAUGUGUAGGUGAAGCAUUAAAUUCAAGACUAUGCUUACCAACAACAUAUAAAUAAAUAAAUAAAUAAAUAUAGGAACAGCACAUGGGGUGAGUAGGAGACAUCAGAAGAUGUGAACAACCCCUUGUCAGUCCAAUUUGCGUCUUUUAUCUACUCUAUUAUCUAUAUCGAUUUUCGUAUUUAUUUAUUUAUUUAUUUAUUUUUACCAUUUGAUUUUGCAUGGAUGUCGAAGGGUUUAUUGGCUGCCACGUGUAGGGUUAUGGUCAAGAUCACGUGGGGUGCCUACAUGGGAGUCACGUGAGUGCAUGAGGCAGGCUUGAAUUGCAGGAGGAGCAGGAGCAGAGCAGUGGCUGUUGUCUUAAGACUUUGCUCUCUUGGUGGAACUGCAGCUUAAGCAGCAUCCACGUGUUGUCACGUGCAAUGCGAGCCAUCCACACCACCAGUUUCUUUUUAGUGAUUUUCUAAAGUCAGUUAAGGUUGCAGUCAAUACCUUCAAAUGUUGACAGAGUUAGGGAUCUUUGUUAAAUGGAUUUUAUUAAGAUAUUAGUAAGUUAAUUAAUUGAGGGUCAACAUAACAGAUGGGUCGGGUUGGGUUGAAUCUGAAUUUAAAACGAUUUAAUUUAUGUUUAAUCAAAUUUAACAUUUAACUCGAAGCACUCAACUUAAGUUUAAUUGAAUCUUAGUUUUCAAAACAUUAUUUAAAUUUGGGUCAUUUGGAUUAAAGUCAAAUGGGUUAGAUUAAUCGGGUUAUAUGGUUCAAAAUCCACUUACCUUAUUUUUUAUACAUUAAUAUUAAAAUUUAAAUAAAAAAUAUUAGAAGAAAUUUCAAACUUGGGAUUAGUUGAUUGUAGCCAUGCAUUUGGAUGUUGGUAUUCUUGUUUCUUGUCUUGUUUCCAAAUACCCUUUCAAAUCGCUUUGUUAUUCAAUAGCAUCCUCCCGAUCAUUUAAAAAUUUAAAGAGCAUUGGUAUGAUGGAGGAAUUCAGAAAUUUUAGUUGAAUAAGUAAAAUUUUUCUCUCAUAAAACCAAAUAGCCUCUAUAGCUCAGUGGUAGAGCGUCAGUCUUGUAAACUGAAGGUCUGUAGUUCGAUCCUGCAUGGAGGCAACUUUUUAUAUUUCAUGAUCCAUUAUGCUCUAGUGAUUUAGUUUUCAUUAUAAUUUUAGAUUAAAAAAUUACAUCAACAUUUGAUAAGUUGGUUAUGACUUUGAUAUAAGGAUGAAACUAUCAAUAAUAUAUAUAAAUAUUUUGACACAAAAUAUCUAAUAUAUUAAAAAAUUAAAAAAAAACUCUAAAAAACAUUAUAAAAUUAUAUAUAUAAUUUAUCAUAUUUAAUAAUAAUAUCUUCUACCCUAAUAAAAAAUAUAAAUUUUAUAAGCAUACAUUUAUUAUUACAUUGUAUUAUAUAUUAUUUUACAAGAAUAUUAUGAUAACAUGUCUAAUUUUAAAAUAUAUUUAAUAUUAAAAUUAUCAUCAAUUUUAAUUUAAAUGUAUUUAAUGAUAUCAAAUAAUAUAUAUAUAUAUAAUUUUUUAAUAUUUAUAUAUUUUUAUAUUUAAUAAAUAUAUAAAUUAUGUAAAAAAAAAAGACCUAUUAAGAAGAUUAUGUUUUUAUAUUUGGAUCAAAAUUAAGUUUUUCCGAUAAAAUAUAUGAAACUAUUGAUAAAUUAUUGAUUGAAACGUGAAAAAAAAAAUUCAAAAAAUAGAUGAGAUAUUAGUAAAAUAUCCGAAAAUAUUGAUUGAUGAAUAUAUCAUUUCAAAUUUUGCAUCAACAUCCACAUAUGUUGGAUAUAUUGGCCAAAUAUAUUUAAACCUUGUUUCCAUGAGAAGUCUUUCCUUCAACAAUUUCAAAAGGUUAAUGAGGUGGUUUCCAAGAGAUGUGUGUAGGGGUCUCCAACGGGCGGGCCGGGCCAGCGGGCUUUUUGAAAUAAGCCAAAAUGGCUUUCAAAAAAGGGAAGGGAGAGGAUUUAAACCCCUUCCUUCAUGCUUAAAUUUCAAGGUUCUAACCAAUUGAACUACAUUCCUUUAAUGUUUAUUAAUUGAGUUAGUUAUAUAUAUAUAUAAAAAUAAAGUAUAUUAUUUUUUAAAGGGGCGGGCCUACGGGCUGGGCCGGGCCGAAAGCGGGCCACGGGCCACGGGCUUUUUGGAGACCCUUGGAUGUGUGCAAUCACAUUUGGUAUUAUAGGUGACAAAGUUUGAUAAAUGAGUAAUUAUUAGGUUAACUUAUAAAAUCCGAAUUUGAUUUAAAUUGAUUCAUUUAAUAAUCCCAUUUAUUUACCCAAUUAAAACUUUAAAUUAUUUAACUUAUAUUUAAUUUAAUUAAAAUUUGUUUUUAAAUAAAUAGAUCAAUUAAAACAUAAACAUAUUUGAUUGAAACAUUAAUAAUAUAGAUUUAAAUAAGACCUAAUUCAACCUAACGAUCAAAUAGAAAUAUCUAAUUAUUAAAUAAAUUAAACAUGUUACUUGCUUAAUAAUUAUGUGACAUUUGAAUUUAUGCUUUUGAUAUAAUUAUUAUUUAUAUCAGGUUUAUAUAAUGAAAUAUCUAGACUUUGACACCAGUCAACAUUGUCCACCAAUACAGAUUGCAACUCUUAUAUGCUACAUCACAUCAUGUUGAAGGAAGAGGAUGACGUUCAUUGGCAGCAGAGCCUCCAAUCAUAAGGAGCUUGAGCAAAUUCAAUCUCAACACUGAAAUUCACUAGAAAAAAAGUUUAUUAUUGAUACUUCAUUUGUGUAAAAGCAUUAUAUUUCUUGCAUCAAUCGUAAAGCAUGACAUUCCAGUAGGUACGGAAGAGAAAAUUUGUUAUGAAUUGAAAAAUCUGUCAAGCUUAAUUUGGAGGGCCCAAAAUUGACACGUUUAAGAGCUCUAUCAUUAGCCCAAUGAUAAGAGUCCAUUUCUUGAGUUUCAAGGAAGGCCCAAGUUUAACUUAGAGGGCCCAAUCUUGGUACCUUCUAAAAGGUGCAAACUUUGGCCCAAUUAUAAAAGCUUAUCCUUGCUUCCUAAGCAUCAAUGAUAUAUUUGAUCGAAGUAUUCACAUAACUAUCACGAAAUGAAAUGAAAUGAAAAUGUAUAAGUAAAUGAUGAUUUUGAGUUAUUUACUGACAAUAAAGAAUUAGGUGGUGUUUGUUUUUUUUUUUUUGGCUUUUUACUAAAAGCAAUUUGUUUUCAGAAUUUAGGUUAUUUAUUUUUCUAUUUUUUCAUGACUUAUUAUAAACUUUUUACUAAAUAAGAAAAUCCAAAAUAUAUAGUUUUUUCUAAAUAGAAAAAAUAACAUAUUGGUUUUCUUUUUUUUUUACUUUUUAAUAUUUAAUAGAAAUAAAAUAUUAUAAAAACAAACAACCUAAUAUUUAACACUAUUAAGUAUUAAGGUUUUAUUUAGAAUUAAGUAAAAAAACAAACACUACCUUAAAAUGAAAAGUAUGUAUAAUGACCUUAUACAAAAAAAGUCUCAUUAUUUUCUUCCAAAGAACUCAUACUUUUGUUUUUCAACUAUUACUUUGUUUUUAUUUUUUAAAUAAUAUUUCAAGUUUUUUUUAAUAAUACCUUUCUCUUUAUUAGAUAAUUUUAAUGACUUUAAAAGUAUUUUAAUAUAUUAAUUUAUUAUAUAAUUUUAAUGAUUUAAAAAUAUUUAAAUGUUGAAAUAUUUAUUUUCAAGUCUAAUUUUAAUUAUUUAUUUUUUGAAGUAUUUAAAUAUAUAAUAAAUGUGGGAUUAUGUAAAUCUAGUUGUAAUUAUUUAUUUCAUUCUAUUCAUGUUUUUAGUUGAAUUUGCUCAAAAUUUACACCUCUUUAUUUAAAGAUCAUGGAUUAGUUAGGUGUCUUGAGAUUUUUUUUCUCUCAAGACACUACUUGUUACACUAGAAAAUAAUUUGUGGCUAUAUUUUUUAGGCAAAAAGAAUUAUAUGUUAAAACUUCCUUUAUUGACUAGUUUAUCAUAGGGUGUAGAGGAAAGUUUGUGAUGUCUUUUUAUGUCAACUUUGGGAGAAAAAUAUCACUUUAGCAUUUUCCUUAGAAAAUUUUCAUACAUAAUUGAUUUUGGAACUAUGGAGGAGCAUAAGUAGGGAUAGAUAAUUCGAUUUUGGAAAAAUUAUAAUAGCUUUUCAACUUGGUGUUAAUGAUAUAUUGUUUAUUUCUUAUUUUUUUUCCAUUUUAAUAUAUAAUUGGGGAUUUUAAACUUGUAGAACAAGGCUUUUUCAAUUGAAUUGACACGUACAUAUGAAAGUUCUCUUUGGUUGCUAAUCACAUUUUUUUUUCUUUUGCUUUUUGUUUUUAUCAUAAUGAAUAUUGAACUCGAAAUUCAGUUUUUAAAAUCUUAUGAUGUUUUAAAGUUUAUAAAUAUUAUUGAUUUUUAUAAAUGAUGUUAUUCAUAUCUUGGUAAAGACAAUAUUUUCAUAUCGGUCAAGAUGAUUAAUAACAUAUAAGUUCAUAAAGAAAAACCUAUUGAUUAAUGGAUAUUUAAUGAUUUUUAUUAGGAAUGUUUUUUAAUUAGUUUCAAUACUCAUCUUUUAGAGCAUACAUAUAGGGUUUUAGAUGCUACAUUGGUUUUCAGCUUGUGAUUUAAAUUAUUGAAGCAAAAAAUGAGGGUUUUGCUUUAUGGAACUAUCUAAAGGGAGGUGAAUUAGGCGGUCUUCCUUUUUAAAAUCCAAAAAUUAGAUUUUUAAUACUUAUAUUAGUUAUACAUGUGUUCAAUAAUUAAAACAAAGAACAAGUCCAUAAUUUACAUGUGAUGUGCAUGGAAAAACACCUACAAAUUCUCUCAAAUACUUUACAAAUGAAAAAAAAAUCAAGGAUCGAUCAAUCACAGAGCAACUUCACUAAAUAUGAAAACAUGACUAUACAAUUUUACUUGGAUGAGGUGCUACCUUCUCUUAAGGGUUUUUACACUAGCCAACAAUUACACUCACCUUCACUCUCACCAUGCACCUCUAUUGUGCUCCAUAGUAAACACUUUAAUGACUGUAGCAAGAUUGCGAUAAAUUACUGCGAUUAAUUUGAGAGUGUUGAUAAUGAACAAAAAAUAAUGAUAAUUAACUAGAGAGCAUAUGAUUUUGUAAAAACACCAAAAAGAGGCAUAGUUAUAAGUGAAAACUUUAAUGGAUUGGAUUGAAUAUAUAAUUGAAGUAUGAAUGAAAAAUUACCAAAACAAUGUUCAAAACCGUGCUAAUCAAAGCACAAUCACUUGAGUACUCUCAUGGGGCACUUGAAUGCUCCUUUUAAUCACCGUAAUGCUGAAAUUAAUAAUUUGUCUCAAAUUGUUUUUCCAAAACAUAAAGCAAAAUAUUAUAAAUUUAUAUAAUCAAACCCAAUUUCAUCUUAAAGCUAGCCUACUUAGUCUUAAUUCAUGUCCAAAAAUACUCAUACUUGUCAAAGAAUGAAUAUGGUAUAAACAAAUUCUUUAUUUUCAAUUAUAUUCAAUUAUUGAAAGAAUAAAUCGGUUUACAUACAUUUUGAACAAAGGUAUAUACACAUAGACUAAAUCAAGGAAAUGAGGAAAUCAAUCACAAUCAAAUCAAAAUCAAAUGAUAGGUUGAUAUCUAGGAGAAGGUUAAGUUAGAACCAACUCAUGUAUUCAAUAUUCCCCCUUAAGAUGGCAUAUGGAGAUCAUGAAUAUCAAACCUAGAAAGUAAGGGAUAUGAAAUAUCUAUACCAAGGGAUUUUAUGAAAUAUCAACCAAUUGUUGUUGUGAUUAAACAAAUUGAAUAAGAAUAAUUUCAUUUCGAAUCUUUUCAUAGAUCAAGUGACAAUCAAUUUCAACGUGUUUAUUCUGUUCAUGGAAAAUUAGAUUAAUAGCAAUGUAUAGAGUUGUAUUAUUGUCACAAUAUAGAUGCAUUGACCAAGGAUGAUGAACUCCAAAAUCUAUAAGUAAAUAUUGCAACCAAUGCAAGUAGUAAUCAUUAAAUAAUAUUUCACUUUUCUUCAUGAGUGUUAUAUCAUUGAUUGCUUUUUAGAUCUUCAAGAGAUUGAUAGGCCACCAAGUAAAAUACAAUACCCUAUAAUUGAACAUCAAGAUUAUGCACAAUAGGCAUGGAGGAAGGCAAAAGAAUUCCUUGACCUAGACGAUUUUUUAAAUAGUAUAACACUCAUGUACUUGUGAGAUAAUUGAGACUACAUUGGCUUGUCAAGAAUUUGAACAUAAUUAGCAAUAUUAAGCCCUAUCAUUAUGAGUCAAAGUAACUUCCCAAUCAAAUGCCUAUAAUAAGAAGCAUCCAACAAAGGUUCUCUAUCUAAUUUACUCAAUUCCAAAUUUUGUUUCCUAGGAGUUUUUAAAGUUACAUGUUCCAAGAAAACCAAAAUCUUUUAGUACUUCUAGAGCAUGUUUUCAAUAACUUAAAUAAAUCUCAUUCUUAAAAUAUGUCAUUUCAAUGAUGAUGAAGUACUUUAAUUUUCCAAUCUCUUAGUUAGUUUGAAAAUGCUAUAUAGGUUUUCCUUGACCACCUUAAUUCCUUUAAGAUCAUUCAUUGUAAUAAUUAUAUCAUAAAUGUAAACAAGAAUGAUUGUGAAAUAGUUAUUUGAGGCUUGAGCAAAUAAGAAGUAAUAUGUACGUCUUGGCUUGCUUGUAAACCAUAAACAUCAAUGUGAUAGAUAAUUUGGCAAACCAUCAACGUGAAGCUUGCUCAAGGCCAUAAAGGGAUUUUUUAACUUUGCAAAUCAUAUUUUUGGUUCUAGAUUUCCUACAAACUUGGUGGAAGCUGCAUGUAUACCUCUUUAUCUAAGUCUUCAUAAAGAAAAACAUCGUUGAUGUCAAGUUGGUGAAGAUGUCAAAUUCUAAUUAUACAAUAAUUAGGGGUGACAAUGUGUCUUAUCGUGUUGAGGUGAGAAAUAGUGAAAAUUUACUUAAUCCGACUAUGACCCGUUUGAUAAUCGUGUCAAAAUAACCUAACAUGAAUACAAUUAGUUUAUUUCAUGUAACAUGACCCUUUUAACAUGUUUAAUAAAUAUAUUAACUUGGAUUAUGUAUUAAUUGACAUGAAUAACUCAUUAACUUGAUUUCAACCCCUUAAACUCAUUAACACAAUUCCAACCCAAUAAACUCGUUAAUAUGAUUUAACUCAUUAAACUUGUUAAUAGGAUUAUAACCUCUUUAACCUAUUUAAAAUUUUAAAUUUAUAAAUAAUAAAAUACUUCUAGAAAGUUUAAUUUUUAAAAUUUGAACUAUAAUACAUGUAUGCACCAAUUUCAUGAAGUCCUGAAAAAUUAGCAAAAUUAUAGAAAAAUAAUAUAAACAAAAAUUUGUAUUAAAAUUAAUAAGUAUGGGCUACAAUAUUAGUCAUAGUACUGCUUAUUUCUGAAUGACUUUAUUAAAAAGCGAAGAAUACAUGUGUAGUUCUUAUGUGAUUUCUUAAACUUGUAAGGCGAUUUUAUAAAGUUUUUUUUUUCUUUGUGAAACCUCUUUUUCUAUGUGAAAUUGUUUUGCCGAUUUGAAAUCUUCAUUAAAGGAAGUUACUAUUAUUUAUAAUUGAAAUUAGAGAAUGAAAUGUGGAAUCCCCAUGAUUUAGUUGCUUAAUUCAAGGAAUUUGAUUAAUUGAUUUUGGUAACUUGUCUCAUAAAAUUUUCUAACAAGAAUAUUUAUUUUUAAUCUCUUUUAUUUCAAUUGGAAUAUUUGUUUCCUUUGUAAAUUUGUCAAUAGAAUAUUUAUUUAUUUAUUUAAUUCUCUUUUGACUACAAUGAGAAGAUUUGAUUUUGUUUGUAAGACUAAAUUUUAUAACCUUUCAAAUUUGGCCAAGUGACACCUUUUGAAUAUAUGUCACAUGUCAAAUGUGUGUGACUCAUUAGUUGUUGAACCUAAAUUUUCUUGAAUUAGAAAGCUAUACUUUUGAAGACUAAUUUAGUGAUAAUUUAAUUCAUUAAAUUUUUUUGGUGUCUACAGUAUAUUUAUAAUAUGAAAAGUAAAUUAAAAUUUUAAUUUUUUUACUUGUUUAUUAUUUUAUUUAUUAUUUAAUGAUAAAUAUUUUUAUUCUUUAUUGAAAUAUAUAAAAUUUUAAUUAAUAUUUUAAUUUUUUUAAUUUCUAUAUAUAAAAUAUAUAGAUUUAUAUGGUCUAAUUGAGUCAUUAAAAUAAAUAGGGUAAAUAACUCACACAUAAGUGAUGGAUCAUUCUAACAUGAUUAAAUUAACAAGUUAGAUGAAUUGAGUAGUCAAAUACAAACAUGAUUUGUUUAUUAAAUAAGUUAUAUGAAUUGAUACGAUUAUGACAUCAACUCAAUUAAACUUAACUCAAAUAAGCUUUGUCUUUUAUUUUAAGUUGUCUAGUUGUUCACACAAAUUUUCUCAAAAUAAAGAAAUUAUAUAUAAAAUUGUAAAUUUGAUUAUUUGAGGGGACCAUUUUCAAUACUCUUUUUUAAGUAAUCUGGUGUUUAAUUUUGAAUCAAAGGGGCUUUCAUUAACAAAUAAUAGACUGUAGUUUUCAUAUAAGAAGAAAUCUCAAGCCUUUUUUUCUUGAAGGAAUCUUUAAAUUUUCUUUGAUACUUUAAAAAAUCAAUCUUCUUUGAUUUUUUAAGAAAUCUUUGAAUUUUCUUAAAGUCUUCAAAAAAAAAAAAAAAAAAAAAACUGAGUUUAAGGAAUUUUUUUAAUAACUCUCCAAAUUUCUUUGAUAUUCCAAAGUGUCCUUUAGAAGGGGACAAAUCCUCUAUUUACAGGAUUGAGAGUUUUAUUUUAAUAUUAUCUCUUAAUUUUUAAGAAAUAACUCUCUUAUUUAUGAUAAUUACUAUUUAUUUUAUUUAUCAUAAUUAGUUGCCUAUGAUAAUUAUCAUAAUUAAUUUUUCUAGAGAUAAAUAAUUAUAUAUAUUUAAUUAAUCAUGAUAACUAUAAUAUUUAUUUAAUUUUUUAUUAAAUUAUUUUACAUAACAUAUCAAUAUAUAUUAUUAGUCAAUUAUUAACACCGAAAAUUAAUGAGUUGGCAUAAAAUUUAUCUCUCUAUAAUAGUAUCAAAGCGAGCCUUAAUAAUAACAUUGCUUAUAGUCAAUUUCACAUGCCAACUUUUUACUGGGCAUUGGCGAUUUCAAUUUUGAUAGUCCGGUUAGAAAAAGUAGGUAAAGAUUAUUUGAUGUGGUAGGUCAUUUCUUUCAUAAAGACGAUGGCGGUGAAUUCAUGAGACAGGUGAUAAAGGAGAGAUUCUUUCUUUUGGCUUUGGAAUUUUAAUGAGGUCCUCGAUCCUCAUCCAAAAUACACCUCUCCAAUUAUAAAAAUCUUAUUAAAAAAAAAAAGAUUUGACAUGUGCCUUUCGAACUGCUGGUUUUCUGUUCCAAAAAUGAGAAUGGUUUCAAGUGGAUGAAGGAAGGUGAAGAACCCUUGGUUUUGUUAAGCGAAAAGCCACAUGAUUAAAUAAACAUAAGGCGGCAAAGGCUGAAAAUUUAAAAUUAUACUAAGGAACCCACCCCACAGGGCGACUACACUUUUGGUGAAGCCACGAGAAUGAAAGAUAUCGAAGGUGACACCAAGACAUUAAGCAGCACCAAGGUUUCGAUAUAUUAUAAGAUGGGAUCUUAUGAAAGACGAUCUCUAAUCUCUCUCCAAUCUCUUCUUUAACCUUUUCUUACUUAAAUCCAUUUCCAUGGUAGGGCACAUGUCCAGCUGACCCUACCCCCUCACCUACCUAUACUGCUAUACCCUUUUGUAUAAUUUGAUAUGGAUUGGAAGCCACCCCAACAUCUUUCUAAUUGCUCGUAAAUGUUGAGGUGCCUUUCCAUUUUGAGGCUGCCCUAAUGUGUGGCUGAAGUACGUAGGAAAAAAAAAUUGUGAUACAUGCACUGACGAAUCAAAUCCCAAUGUCAAAUUAUUAGACUCACCUGGUUCUUAAAUUAUUGUGAAUGCCGCUGGCCAUGGAUAAAUGGAAUUAGUGCGUGGCUUAAUGAAAAUUUAUUUUGAAAGGGAUAUUAAUUUGAGAGAAUUUUGGCUGAUACUUGGAGUUGAACGUAAGCAUAUAUGACCUCAUUUCGGGUGUGAUAUUGUGCUUAUAACGAACCUUUCGUUCUUUCCAAUUCCAGUGGGUAUUAAAUAAUUAAAGAAUUCAUGGUUCGAAGGCGAAAGGUAGAAGACCAAAAAGGGAUUACAAAGCCAUCGGCUUGACCAUCCAGAUGCAAUGGAUACAAACUUUGGACUCUAUCGAAAGUUCUUUGGGCACGUGCCCAAGUGUCCUACCCAUAUGAUAAGUUACACGUGGCUAAUUGCGGACCGGUUGCUCGUGCUAAACAGGGUACUUUUUCUACGCAUAUAAGAUGUUUCACUAGUGGGGCUUCACCAUGCAAACUCAUGGAUGAAGACCCUGAGGCCAAGAUGAAGGAACAGAAAGAAGGCGGAGGAGAGGUUCGGUAUCGAGGCGUUCGGAGGCGGCCAUGGGGGAAGUUUGCUGCGGAGAUACGUGACUCGACUAGGCAUGGAGCGCGCGUCUGGCUCGGGACUUUCAAUUCUGCGGAGGAGGCUGCAAGAGCAUAUGACCGAGCUGCUUAUGCCAUGAGGGGUUCCUUGGCGAUUCUCAACUUCCCUAAUGAGUAUCAUACACCCGGCACGGCUAGCUCUUCAGCUUCAUCCUCAAUGCCCGAAGGUGAUCAGCAGGGAAAACAAGUCAUUGAAUUGGAGUACUUGGAUGAUAAGCUGCUAGAGGAUCUUCUCGACUCUGAAGACAAAAAGAACAAGAAAACCUGAAGUUUCUGCUGCCUCGAAUCCCCUGAAAUCUAGUGCUUCAUCGAAAAAAAAUCCCCUCGCUCCUGAUUAACAACAUUUUUAUUUUAGUCAAUGAAUGUGUUCUCGGAUCAUUAUAAGUAUUUCUGCCGAAGUCCAUUGAUUUUUGGAGACUGAAAAAUGUCAGAAAAAUUGGUGCGAACAGGUUUACUCCUUUCUAAAUUAUGCAAUUGAAGUAUUUGGAUUAGUGCGCAGUGUAAACAUCAAGGAAAGCAUGAUCCACUAUUUUAAGGAGCCUAAGUGCUUUCCCCUUUACUCUUUUAGGAUGUCUUUUCAGUGAAGAAAGUUGGGAGACCACCACUUACCCUUUUGAUUGGUAUAUAACUGCCAACUAAUAACUGGACUAACAUUUGGCCCGUCUGGCCCUACUUCUUUGACUUUGUUGUUAAUUUAUAACUUUAUGUGAAGUGGGGGCUGUUUGGGAAUGUGUGAAGCAAGGAUUUGAGCCGACUUCGCCUAAUCUGAUUCUCCAUAAGUGACUUCAUUUUAUCAUAUUGGUGUUUUUUUUCUUCUUCUUUUUAAAUGGCUGGGGAGGAGGGGAUUUGGGAGGGAUGCAAUGCCAUGGUUGCAUGCUGGAUUAUCCUUCCAAAUGAAACAUCCAUUUGGUUUCUAGUAACUAAUUGCAAACAAUUAAAGAGAAUAAAAUUUUAAGAUGAUUAAACAAUAAGUACCUAUGUCCAUGAAAAGGAGAGAAGUUCACUCAUGGGUGUUCAUGAAAGACAUCACAAAGAACCAUCAAUAUGAGAAGAAUCCUGAUACAAUUAACUUUCAUGCAUAAGAAAAGACGCUCAAAAAAGAAUAAUGCUUACAAGGAAAGAAUCUCACUACGAUCAACUGAAAAAAUAUUCCAAUUUAAUUGGAAAUCCUUACAUGGGAAGAAUAUCAAUAAAAUCAACUAAAAAAAUAUUUUAAUUUUAUAUCAAAAUAUUUGUGAUUUAACCCGUAUCAUUUCAUCAUGACUUCUUAUAAAUUUUGUUCCUUUUUAUCAACACCACCCCUUGAGUUGGAGCAUAAAUAUUUAUUAAGCUAACUUGAACAAGAUCUUGAGAAAUUUUGUCGCAGGAUUUGUUUGCACUUUUUUUUUUCAAAUAAAGUCAUAAUUAACUUUAAUAUGUUUAAUCAUUUCAUGAAAUACUAGAUUUUAAGCAAUGUUGAUAGCAUACUUAUGCCUGAAAGCUUUAUCCCAAAUCACAUGAGUACAUGAAGUGAUUGCAUCAUUAAUGGUAGUAUUAUUACUUUAUAUUCAACUUCUCCACUUGAUAGGAUGCAUGAAAGCAUUGUGCUUUCUUCUGUUUCAAGUAAUAAAGAUUAUCACCAAGAAAGGUGCAAUUAAUACCUAGUAACAGAGUACCUAGUGGUAGCAUGCACCUAUCCACUGAACUUGUACUCGACUCUAUGAGUGUACGUUACAUAGUCCUUUUUUCGAAGUCUAAAUGUCCCUUGAUAAAACCUUCUAAUAUUUGAGGUUUUGGUAACAUUCAUGUAUCAAUGAACAAAUUAAUUUACUAGCUAAACUUUAAAAUUAGGCAAUGUUUUUCAAUGGGUGAUCAAGAUCUUGGAAUUUUCAAUGUUGUUUGAAUAGCUUCCACACACAAGCAUAUUUUCUCCUAUUUAGGAAUAAUCCCUUUUUUGAAGGUGUGAUCUUUAUGCUCAAAAAAUAAAGAUACUCAAAAAUUUAAUAUUGACCUUCUCGUGAAGGAAAAGCUUUAUAACUAAUUUUUUUUGUGCAUUAUAUAUAUCCUCAAUAUAGACUUUAAAAAAAAAAGAAGUAACUCCCUCUACAAAGAGUGAAGAGUCAAUUAAACUUUUUUUUUUUUAAAAAAAAGGAACCAAUUACUCGUAAAAGUAAUGAUUAUUUUUACAUACCAAACUUGAGGAGAUUACUUAAGAUCACAAAAGUUUUUAUUAAAUUGCAAGCUAGAUGCAUUUGAAACGAUCGUUGAUGUCUUAGCAACACCUUAUGUAACUCAUCAAUCUUUAUGUAAAAAUGCAUUUUUAACACCCAUAUAAAAUAAUGAUCAAUCCUAAUUUAAUAGAAACAAAUGGUAAUACAUGAAUAUCAUUCAUAUUAAUGAGAAAAGUAAAUAUUGAUUUAUAAUCAACUUCUUAAGUUUGUGUCAAUGCCUUAAUCAUUAGUUUAACUUUGUCAUUCAAUGAUACCAUCAUUACGACAUUUAAUUAACUUAGAUUUGCGUAAAUCCCUUAAUCACUAGUCUAGCUUUAUGUCAUUCAAUGGUACCAUCAUUAUGGUAUUUAAUUGAUCUUAUACCCCCAAUUUGUAUACCCCAUGUUUUUCUUAAUUUACCAUACAUCACUUAACAAUGUUCCAUGCAUGGAUUUUGUUAAGUGCCUUAAGUUCCUUUUGCAUAGCCUUUCUCCAAAUUGGAUGAGGAUUGGCUUCAUUAAUGUCAUUAGACUCAUGAUAUAUGGAACUCAAACAAUUGUUAAGUGAUUUUGUAUAUAUAUAAAAAAAAAAUUGUAAUUAAUGUGGUAGGCAUAAAAAUCUCACAAAUGAGGAUUGAUUAAUUGUUAUAAUUGAGCAACAUGCUUGAGGCUUAGUCACAAUACUAGAACUUGAAGUCAGACAUUCUCUUCAAAUAAGGACGUAUAUACAUUAUAUUGGAUCUCCAUUAAACAAGUAAAGAACUAUUUAGUAGACAAUGAAACCUCAUUGAUCAAUGGUGGUAGAGAGACACAUGAUGACCAGACUAUUCCCCUGGAAAUGAGAAUAAAAAAUAUCAUUAGCCGCAAAAAUCUCAAAAAAAUUUAGAUAAUGGGAUAUAAAGAGUUUAUGAAUUUUACAAUCAUAACUCUUAUACUGGUUUAAGUGGUAGAGUAAUCAAGAACACAAAACGAGUUUGAUGAGUGGUUGAGAUAUGAACAAAGCAAAGAUUUCCAAAGACACCAAAAUCAGAAAUCUCAAUUUUUGGGCUAAGGAUUUCAAGAAGAAAUUUAAAAUUAACUACAUGACUAGAAAAUUUGUUCAUCAAGGAAAUAGAAGUAACGAUAUCAUAACAUCAUAAUUAAUCAAUAUUUUUAAUAACAUGCAUUUGGAACAUGAUAUACCGGCUUUCUAAUAAUCAAUGAUUUUUGGUUCAACCACACCAUUUUGUUUUGGGAUGCCAAUACAACAAGUUUAACGAANNNNNNNNNNNNNNNNNNNNNNNNNNNNNNNNNNNNNNNNNNNNNNNNNNNNNNNNNNNNNNNNNNNNNNNNNNNNNNNNNNNNNNNNNNNNNNNNNNNNAUGUAAGUGCCAAAUUAGGUAGUGUCGACAAUGAAAUGGAAAUUUUGGAAUAUAGAAACAACCUCAUUUUUAUGUUCUAAUAAGUAAACCUAUGUAGCAUAAGAAUAGUCAUUAAAAAAAAAGGUAACAAAAUGUUGAUUUCCAUCCUAUGGAUCAAUUAGGACACAACCCCAAGGUAAACUAAUUUGAAAGUUGCAACAAAAAUGGAAAGAGAUGAAAAAAUAAUAGAGGAAUUUAAGGUUGUUUCAAAAUUUCAAGACAUGCUAAGAAACACAUGAGAUUAUAGAUGAUUAGGUAACAACCUUGGUUAAGUAUAUUCAACAUAUAUAUCCCACGAGGAUAAAUAUCUUCACUAAACUUUUCCUAUUAUUCAAUCCCCUAAUACCAUACAAGUGAAAAAUUAAUGUCACGGUCAAAAAUUUUAAUAAGCUUCCAAAGAGAUAAUAAUUUUGGGGAAAAAAACAACCUAAGAAACCUAUGAAUUGAGAUAAUUUAGGAAAAAACUAAAUGUUCGUUAGCUCUAGAAGGGAAUUGAAGCUCAUCAUCAAUAAAGAUUGUUGCUAUCUCGAAUAAUAUCAAGUAAACCAUUAAGAUCGCUAUUAAUGGUAUGAUUAGCAGCACCAAUUAUCGACAAAAAAAUUAUUAAAAAUAUAAGAAAUGAGAGCUUUAAGAUUAUCUAAUUGAUUUGUAAACCUAGGUAAGUGAAUCAGUAUUACGUUUUGUUAAGGAAGCUUAGAUCCAAUUGGUAUCAUUCACCAAGUUAUUGGAUUAAAUUACACUAUCAAACUUUGGCUUUAAAUGAGAAUGAAGAAUCUAACCACAAUCCUUAUUGGGAUUAGAUAUGUUAUUGCAAUAAUGUUUACAAUCGGAUGAGUGCUAAUUUCUAUUGAAAUCAUGAAGCAAUCUCUGAUCAUUGGUCUUCUUUGUAGAAACAUGAGCAUUGAAUUUAAAAUUAAUAAUUGUUACUUGGGAUUCAACCUUCAUAAUCAUUGCCUGGGUUUCCUAAUCACUUUCAAGAAUUACUUAUAUAGUGAAGGCACUCGAAACUAAUCAAAUUUGUCCUCUUAUAAAGUUGUCAUAUUCAAGCUUCAGAAUAGCCAAUAAUUGAAAAACUUAUCAUACUCCGCAAUUUGUUGAAGAAUAUUUGGGUCUAUUGAAGGGGACAAUAUAGGGAAUAUUUGUCCCAUAUGCUCAAAAUGUUCAAUUAACAAAGUGUUCUGUAUGUUUAGGGAUUUGUUAGCUUUAAUUACACAAAACAUUAGCAGUUUUAGAGAAAAUUAAUUUUUUUUUGCAAUCUUAGGUUCCAUGAAAUUAAAAAGCCAAUAACAAGUCAAUAUGGCUUGAGACCCAGUCAUCAUAUUCAAAGUCAUCCAACUUAGAAGCAUUCAUUUUGCCACUAACAUGUGCUAAUUUCCAUUUUCUAUCUUUCAAGAGAAAAAGACUGCUCUUAACCAUGGCAAAUAAUUGAACCCAUUAAGAAGAUUGAGGAAAGUAUCAUAUGAGGGUUGUCAUUUUCCUCCAUGACAAAGAAAAAGCAACAGAGAAAAACUCAUAAUAUUAGAAAGAGAAUGAAAGAAAUUGAGUCAUAGAUACACACAGAAGAAUCCAAAAAUAAAGCAAUAAUACAACCACAAAUAUGAGAAGAAGCUCAAUUACAAAGAAAGGAACUCAAUACAAUCAACUAAAAAGCGUUCCGAAGUUCAUACGAAAAUAUUCAUAAUGUGAAGAUCAUUUCAUGAUUCCUACAAUUUCUUCCUUCUACCAGUCCACUCCAUACAAGGUUUGAUCAACAACUUCUUCAUUGAUUUUCUGGUCUCUCUCCGGUGUAUCAUAGAGCAUUUUUGACAUGUUUCUGCAAGAUACACUUGUUAACUUUAAGCGACAUAAGUGCAAAAAAAUAAGAUCAUGUUGUAUUGCCUGUGCUUCCACUCUGCCUUGUUUAGUACUAUUAUGGAGCAGUACUUCCAUAUAGAACCAGUGAUCUCCAGUUCAUUAUGUUGCCUUCUUUAAACUAACUUUAAUUAUCUAUACAUAUAAAACAAAGUGGUCCCAUCAAGGGGCUAAAUCAAGAAUCAAGUGGGGCGAACAGGAAACAGUGGCAUCAAUUUUUAAGUCCAUAAGCUUUAAUAAAAGGAAUAAAACCAAGGAUAUGAAUAUGUUAUUUUUUCAUUUGUUCAUGCACUGGAAGAUCUUUCCUCUUCAAGCAUUGAACCAGCAUCCUUCUGUGCAAGUUGCUGUCGGAACCUUCUAUAAUUGUCAGAAGUCUGUUUCUGAAAUAUACAGAUAAAACUUUUAGCAAGUCUUGACAUUGCUCAUCACUAGGACAUUGUACUAGGAUACCAAUUCAUCUAAUUAGGGUUAAGUUGGCAUCUCGUACACUAUUUUUUAUUUUUCCUUCAUCUUUUGUUCCCAUUUGCAGUGGAAGUGGCACUUAGAAUAUCUGAUCAUGAAGAAUUAGCUUUCGGUGAGAUGAUACUAGGUCAAUUGCCAUUAUCUUUUUGAGUUACUGUGCGAGCAAUCUUGAAAAUAUUUUGGGAUAAAUAGAAUUUGUGCUUAUCAUAAACAUGCUAAACAUCCAAAUCAAGUGCUUUUACUAUUGAUAUCAAAUCAGUAAUUGAUUUUAACCUUUAUGCUUAUCUUUCAGAUUCUCAAUUAUGUAUCUUGAAUAAUGAUAUUAAGCAGAAAUCAUGAAUUGAAUUGCUUUAAUUAACUGUGCCUUAUCAAGCUUGUCAGCAGUGCUAUUGCUACCGCGAAUCAAAUUCGCUGUGCUUCCCGCCUUCUCCAAAUAAGCCACAAGCCCAAUUAUAUCCGCCCUCCUCCCAUCUCCAAGGGAUCAAAAAAUAAAAUGACUUCAAUCAAUUUUCAAGUUUUCCAUCUUGAUCAGUAGACCACCCGGCAUGAAUGUUACCCUCAGUUUAGGAAUAGGAAUUCCUUUUACUAAUCAUUUGGCACUAAAAACUAUGACCCCUAGCAAUUCAUUCCCUCCAUUAGAUAUCUGGGGGCAUCUUGGCUCAGCCAAAAAUGAUAAGUCAUUGCAUUUCACAUUGCAUUCAUUUGUAUUAAUGAGCUAAUUUUUUUUCACAGAAUGUGAUGUGAAUCGAAUUACUUCCAACCAUGUGUCUCUAUAAGGGUUUAACAAAUGUAAUUUGCAUUGUCUGUACACUUUUUUUUCGGUUUCUUUUCUUUUUUAUGCAUGAUUCAUUAGUCCACGGAUCUUCUAUGCAAAGUGUGCAGGCCAAACACCUCCUUCAAUGCAUUAUUCUAGAAGUUAAGACUCAGUUUACUCCUUAAUUGAUCUGUUCCAUUUACUUCAAAUCAUUUGAUUACAUUAAAUGAAUCUUGAAAUUCAAAAAUGCAUCAAAGUUAAAAGACCUUCCAAUGCAUUAAGAAAUCAUCUGAUACAAAUAUAUGUGAACCUGCAACAACAAUAAUGUCAAAAUGGAAAACUUAGGUAGAAAAUAUUAGAACGGAAACUUACGACGAACUCAAUUUUUGGCGCCUUUCUUCUUCUCAUCUUCUGAUCCAAGAAGCUCUUCCAACACCGUGUCAUCCAAACACUCGAACUCAAUGACUUGCUUUUCUUGCCCAGAAGAGGAACCUCCCAUCUCUAAACUCCUACAAGGCCCAGAAGAUGACGAGGAAGACGAUGAGGAUGGUGAUGGUGGGGGGCGAUGGGAGCCCAUGAUUUCAGAAUAGUACUCAUUAGGAAAGUUAAGAAUGGCAAGAUGACCCCUUAAGUUAAAGGCCGCUCGAUCAUAGGCGCGAGCUGCAUCCUCCGCCCUGUCAAAUGUGCCUAGCCAUAGACGAGCACCUUGCCUAGACGGAUCCCUAAUCUCGGCUGCAAACUUCCCCCAUGGCCUCCUCCUCACCCCUCGGUAUCGAACUUCUUCCUUUUCCUUCCCUUCCUGCUCCUGCUUCUCAUUCCCUUUCGAAUGAUCUUCCAUGCUAAACGUGUCGAUUUGCUAGGCGCAAUUUUUUUGGUUUCAAAUGUGCUGGUUUACGAGAGGCAUGGAUGCUUAUGUAUAUAUAUGGUUGCCACAGUCAGGUCUGACGUCACCGCUCAAUGUAUGUUCCACAGCGUGGGUUGACGAGCUUUCUGAGGGGGUUUCCUCGAAUUCAAAGCAAGUAUAAAAAUUCGAUUCUCCGACCUUUCCAAUGAGGAUCGAACAGGCCUUUUAUUAGAACCGUAUGAUAACUCCACACUGUUUUCAAAUAGUCAAUGUGAUCUAGAUUCUUCGUUAAUUUUUUCCACCUGACUGAUUGUUUACAAUUUUAUUUUUCACCGUCCCAAAUUUAAACCAUUUACGCGAUUCCCUGGAUUGCAUUUUUCUUUAAUGUUGACUUUACGAGGCAAUAGGACCCCCCAGCAACCCCACUAGGGCGACUUCAUGGGAACCAGAUUACUUUUGGAUCCAGAUAUGGUCCAGAAGAAAUAAGACAAAUCAAUUAAUGUCCACUAAAGUUUUGAUGGAACCCUUAGUCCGUGUUUCCUGUGGAUGUAUGUAUUGUAUGCACCUCAAUUUUCACCAAUCCCUGCUACGAGUCCCUUUAAUUUUGACGUUAUAAAUGUUUUUCCUGACAUUAGCAGAGUGUUUUUCUGCCGUCUUUGAGGACCUUCCACGGCCCAUAAACUAAUAAGGAUCGUCCAGUGAAUUUAGUCUUCCCCAGUUAAUUAUCCUGCGAGGGAAACUUGGGCAGUAAGUUGCCUACAUGAGUGGCUCCCGCCUACAUGAGUCAAGGGACCAUACGUCAGGACGACAACCAGUGUGGUCACACCAAAGUGGGUUGCCUGGACUCCAGGGUGGUCGCUUCAAAGUUGUCAAAUGAAGGCUAGCUUGGCAAGUUUUGGAAAACAAUUAUUGAAAAACAUUUUUCAUGAAUAACAGUUUCUAUGAACAGAUUUUAAGAAAGUUUAUUUUGUGAUUUUUAGGAAUAUUUUUAAUUUAAAUUUUUAUAUUUUUAAUUUUUUAUUAAUUUAUUGAUUAUUUAAUAUUAGCUUAAUUAAUGGAUUUUUCUUGGUCCCAAAUUAUUAAUUUAUCAAGAUUUAAUCGCAUCCAUAAUUAGUCUAAUUUCUUUUGGAGUGAGUGUGACAAAGUGCAAAUUUCUAGAGUUUUAUUAAUGUUAUUCAAUGUCAUAAUUUAACUAAUUAUAUUAAUUAUUUAUUAAUCAAAAUAAAUCAUUCACUUGAAAUAUGAUAAUUUAAAUUAAAAGUUUCAAUUAUUUAUUAAUUAGCAAAGUAUGAACUUUUCUUCUUGUUUUAUUAUUGUUAUUCCAUGUAUAUAAUUUAAUUAACUGUUUCCAAUAUUAAUCAAUAAAAAUAGAAUAUAAGCAUGAGAAGAAUUAGUAAAAUUCAUUGAUUUGGAAUUAGAUAGCUAGAGGAAGAACUUCAUCAUCUUCCCAUUACUUAAAUUUGUAUAAAUUCUAAAUAUUUAAACCCCCCCCCCCCCCCCCCCCCCCAAAAAAAAAAAAAAUGGUAAAGAAAGACUCCCCAAGCUUUCUUGGUUGGUGUUACCCUAAAAUUUGUACAAUAAGAUGAACCAUUUGGCUUAAAGCUUGGUGCGAAACCCCUUAUCAAUUGAAAAUAUCAAUGAAGUUGUUGAAUGGUUUUAGAGGACUAUUCUUAUGCAGAGUGGCAUAAGAAGCGAGGAGAUGAAGAGCGGAGAGACGUUAACAUCGGAUGCUGCUACGAAGGUGGGAAUACGGUUAAUUAAUUAGAUUUUGUGAUGGCUUUGAGUUUGAAGGAGUUAGUUUAAUGGGUAUUAUUAGUGAACUGAUAAUUGGAUUUGAUGUAAAGAAGGUUGGUCCAUUGGAUUAGCAAUUGGUUUGGCCUUUUGGGGGCCCCAUUUCCAAAUGCAUUGCCUUUUACAAGCAUUCAACAUCGCUGGACGUAACCAGGCUUGGUUCACCUAAAAGUAUCGCAUGGAUUGAAUUGACUAAGUUUUCAUUGUAGACUAGCCUUGAUUUUCCCUUGACCUGCCCACCAAAUCCUGAUGCCCACGCGAGGGAAUACCUCAAUUUUCUAAUAAUUUAUGCAGUUUCUCUUCAAAGCUCGUGUGAUCACUUGGGUCGGUAAAAUAAUGCAUUCCUCUACUUUUUCUCCCUUCCUAGAUGCAUGUUAUACCAUUAAUUCAAAUGUGAACAUGGGCUUGGCUUUGAAACUUGGUUCAAGGCCCAACAUGUUGACCCACAAUUGAGGUGUAAUUGAAUUUGUACACUUUUCGACUUUGAUACCAUUUGUCAUUACCAUUGACAUUGGGUCAUUGUUGAUUUUGAGUCCACAACUUUUAAGGUUGUUAUUACAAUUUUAAAUUGCGCCCACCCAAUUUAUAUGCAUUAUCCCUUAUAAAUACCGAUAACCUCUCUUUCUUCGAUAAUAUAAAAUGUCACAUAUAUUAUAUAUCUCAAUGUUUUCUUUUACUUUUUUUUUUUUUAUCGAUCGACAUUCUCUCUCAGAUGAUAUGAGAUGUCACAUAUAUUAUAUGUUUCAAUGUUUCUUUUACUUUUUCUCUUUUUCCUCAUGAUUGACAUUGUCUUUCUCAAAUGAUAUGAGUUGUCACAUAUAUUUUAUGUCUCAAUGUUUUCUUUAACUUUUUUUCUCUCUUCUUUAAUGAUCGACGUUCCUUUUCUCAGAUGAUAUGAAAUGUCAUAUAUAUUAUAUGGCUUAAUGUUUUCUUUUACUUAUUCUUUCUUUAUUAAUAAUCGACAUUUUAAGCAAUAUGUGAAUAUAAAGCAUUAAAAUUAUCUCCAUCGUUUUUGGAUGUGGUAUAAAUACACAAUUCUUAUUUUUGUUUUAAAUAUUUCUAUUGCUAUCUAUUGAAAUUUUAUGCAUGAAGCUACCAAGUUAAUUAUACAUAUAUCUUAAGAUUUUUUUUUUUUUUUUUUAUAGGAUAUAUUGUCCAUGAAUAUUUUCUGCAAUGGUAUCUUGUUUGAUUACUAUAAGAAAUAAUAUAUAUAUAUAUAUAUAUAUAUAUAUAUAUAUAUAUAUAUAUAUAUAUAUAUAUUAUAUUUCAAUGUUUCAUAUUUGCUUAAAAUAAAAAUUAUAUUUUAUCACAAUAUUUGGUAUUAAAAAAAAUGAAAUCUCUCUCAUUUAUUAUUACAAAAAAAUUAUAAUUUAUAAUUUUCUAAAUAAGUUUUAUUUAUUUGCUAACUAUAUUCAUGAUUAAAAGAUUUAAAAUUUAUAAAUAAAAAAUAUUAUGUCAUGUCAUUAAAUAAAUAAAAAUAUAUGUAUAUAUUAAAAUUAUGUUUUAUUGUAGCUUUUAAUAUUUUUUUUUUUAUUCUUUUCUUUUUUGAACUACAAUUUUAAUUUUUUUUAAUCAAAAUUUUUUAAUUUACAAAACGAGUAACAUAAAACUUGCCUUUGAACUUUAUUGGAAUGUUAUAUACUACCAUUUGGCUUUCAAGACAUUAGAAAAGGCAUAAGUGUCCCUUUUAUUUUUCCGAAAGGCAUAUUAGACUAUAGUAGGAAGUGUUGUAUAGAGGCAACUAAAAGUUGCCUUUAACUUUAUGAAGUCAUAUACUCCUCUUUGGCUUUGAUGACAUCAACUAGCAAAUUGGAUUUUGUUUCCUUUGCAACAUUUUUCCAUCCAUUAGCCAGUUUUUUUAUACUGUUUGGUGCUUGCCAACAUGGCACACACUAUGGUUCUUAAAAAGUAUUUUUUUUUUUAAGAUACUACGAAAUAAAAUACACGAUUGAAAGAUGAGUCACAAUAAUUUUCAAAACUAAAUUUUUUAAUAUUGUUAAGAAAAUUUGACCACCAAAUGAUUGAUUUUAAAUUACAAAUACUUUUGUUAGCUAAGAAAUUUGUUGUUCUAUUUGUUUCCCUAUAAAUAUGACAACAAUCAUAAAUAUUUUCAUUUUAAGAUAAUUUUCAAAUAUCUUCCAUUAAUAAUAUAAUAGAAUUAGGAAUUUUUUUUUUAGUUAUAACAAUCUAUAAUUAUUUAAGAGUCUUCCUCAAUCUCUAGGUUUAAGAACUUAUUGUUCUUAACAACUAACAUGUCAUCUCUUAAAAUAAUACAUUCUGCAAUAAUUAUUGAAAUAUGAUAUAAUAUAUAUAUCUACUUACAACCAUUUUUGUAGUACCAUUAGAAUUUUUAAUUACCCAUUCUAAAGUAUUUUUAUUCUCUAUUCUUAAACCAUCAAAAUUUAAUUUAAAUCUUUCAUUAAUUGGAUAAAUCCAAUGAAUCUAACAAGUUAAAGGAUUAUGAAUCCGACAAAACAGUUGAUAAUAAAUUAAUAAUGCCAUUAAUAUGAUUUUAAUGUGAAACACAAUUAUCACAUUUAAUACAGUUAGUCCUUGUAUGAUUAAUGUUUUGGAAGCUAAAAUCAAUCUUUUGACUAUAAUAAGAGUUUCUACUAUUUCUAUUUUUGGAUGAUUUUAUAUUUUUCUUAUUGUUUUAGUUUAAUACAAAAAAUAAAAAUAAAAUUACAUUAGUAGAAUUUUUUUAACUUACUCAAAAACCUAUUUUAGUUGAAUGAUUUUUUUAAAAAAAAUAUAAAUAUUUUGUUAAAAGGGAUAAAAUAACCUUACCUUGUGAAAAAGACCUCUUCACCCAAGAUUACUUGUUCAUAAUCCUUUUAAGACGAAAAUGCCCCCUUCCUAAAAAAUAUUUCAUCUUAAACUUAUUUUUCUUUUUAUUGCCCUUUGUUCCAUCCUUCCGGCUUGGGAGAGAAAUUCAUUCUUCUUUUGCGAAGAAAAAUUCCUAUUGCGAUUUUUCAUUUCAAGUGGAAAAAAAAAUUCUUAUUUCAUUUUAAAGAAAUUGUACAUUUUCAAUCUUUCUCUUUGUUCCUAGUUGAGGGUUUUUUUUGUAAUUUUAUCUUAACACUACAAAUUUAAAGGUGAGAUUAAAUCUUAAUGGUUAUUAGUUAAAUCACAUAUCUAACUUUGUUUUUGUCAGGACCUAUAAUAUGAUUGGAACCACCAUCCAAACUUCAUUAGGUGGGAUACUCCCCACCCUCCCCCUCCCCCCGCGAAAUCCUUGGAUUUUAGUUUUGACUUGGAUUUCAAUUGCCCGUAUCAAUUUUUCUUUAUUUAUUAAUUUAUUAAUUUUCAACUUUAACAAAAGCCUUGAAUCAUAUUUAAAUUCAAAUAACUUAAUCCUAAUUAAGUUCUUUUUAAAUAAAAAUUAAUCAUUGAAAAGUUCAUGUGACUAUUAUAAUUGAGAAUUUAUCCCAAGUUGGGUUUUUUGCAAAUAAAAUUUUAUUAUAGGACAUCAUGAUGCAACAUAACAUAAGGUUGUUACUUAAGUUUGUUUUGACCUUGUAAUAUGUUAAAAUGAAAAUGAAGCCAUUGUAACAGGAGAGAAUGAUGAAGCUGUGGAGAGAGCUUAACAAAGCUUGGGUUGGAGAGACUUCACAGGAAGAGAGAGAGAGAAAUAAAGGGUAAAAUUAUCAAAAGAGAAAAGAAAAAAAAAAAAAAAAAAGAAGGUUAUGUCUUCAAAUAAUCAAUAAGAGAUGUCAUUUUUCUAAUUUUCAAAGUUCUUUUGGUCCUUCUCUACAAAUAUCCCUAUAAAAAUAUUAUAAUAUCAAGUUAAUUUGUCAAUACCAAAAUUUAUAUUUUAUAUUAGGGCGACUAAAUAACAUAUAGAAAGAAUUUUAAAUGAGUAAAUCAAAUCAAUUUUGAAACCAAAACUUAAUAAUUACCAAACUUGUAAUCUUAGUCAUUAAAAGUGUACGAUGAAAUCUAAAUUAUUAAGCAAUGAAACAAAAAAUUAAGAUUAAAAUACAAAACGUUAAAAUCAAGAUACAAACUAUUAAAAUGUAAGUGGGAUAUGAGAUGAUAUUAUAAAAAAUAGUGUGAUCCAACAAAAAGUCUAGUACAUCAUUAUCUUCACUUCCAACCAUGUUUAAAAGGUCACAAGUUCUAGCGGUUUCCAAGGACAAUGUUAAAAAUAAUAAAAAUAAAUCCAAUUAAAUAUUAAUUAAUUUAUUUGAAUUUGAGUCCGACAAAAUAGUUGGUAAUAAGUUAAUAAUGCCAUUAAUAUGAUUUUAAUGUGAAACACAAUUAUCACAUUUAAUACCCGUUAGUCCUUGUAUGAUUAACUUUUUAGAAAUUAAUAUCAAUCUUUUGAUUAUAAUAAGAGUUUCUACUAUUUAUAUUUUUGGAUGAUUUUAUAUUUUUCUUAUUGUUUUAGUUUAAUACAAAAAAAUAAAAAUAAAAUUACAUUAGUAGAAUUUUUUUUAACUUAUUCAAAAAACCUAUUGUAAGGUGAAUGGUUUUUUUAUUUUUUUUUUAAAUAUAAAUAUUUUCUUAAAAGGGAUAAAAUAACCUUACCUUGUGAAAAAAGGCCUCUUCACCCAAAUUUACUUGUGCAUAAUCCUUUUCAGACGAAAAUGCCCCCUUCCUAAAAAAUAUUUCAUCUUAAACUUAUUUUUCAUUUUUAUAACCCUUUGUUCCAUCCUUAUGAUUUGGGAGAGGAAGUCAUUCUUCUCUUGUGAAGAAAAAAUUCCUACUGCCAUUUUUCAUUUCAAGUGAAGAAAAAUAUUUAUAUUUCAUUUUAAACAAAUUGUACAUUUUCAAUCUCUCUUUGUUCCUAGUUGAGGUUUUUUUUUUUUUUUUUUUUUUUUGUAAUUUUAUCUUAAUUGUACAAAUUCGAAGAUGAGAUUAAAUCUAUAAUGGUUAUUGGUUAAAUCACUUAUCUAACUUUGUUCUUGACAGAUCGUAUAAUAUGAUUGGAACCACCAUCCUAACUUUAUUAGGUGGGAUCCCUUUUUUUUUUUCCCCAAACCCUUGGAUUUUAGUUUUGACUUAUAUUUCAAUUGUCUGUAUCACUUUUUCUUUAUUUAUUAAUUUUCAACAAGUUCUUUAACAAAAGCCUUGAAUCAUAUUUAAAUUCAAAUAACUUAAUCCCCAUUAAGUUCUUUUUAAAUGAAACUUAAUCAUGUGAAAGUUCAUGUGACUAUUAUAAUUGAGAAUUUAUUCUUAGUUGGGUUUUUUGUAAAUAAAAUUUAGUUAUAGGACUGUGAUGAUCCGUUCUCAACCGUAUAAAUAUUGUUCGUUUUGAAUUCAAAAUAACUUUUACGGCUUUAAAACAUGUUUACAAGAUUAAGAGGAGUCCAUAUUUAUAUAGCUUCACGAACUUUCCCCCCUAUUCGAUGUGGGAUGUCACAAGGACAUCAUGAUGCAACGUAUAACAUAAGAUUGUUUCUUAAGUUUGUCUAACCUUGUAAUGUGUUAAAAUGAAGAUGAAGCCAUUAUAACAGAAGAGAAUGAUGAAGUUGUAGAGAGAGCUUAACAAAGCUUGGGUUGGAGAGACUUCAUAGGAAGAGAGAGAGAGAGAGAGAGAGAAAUAAAGGGUAAAAUUAUCAAAAAAGAAAAAAGAAAAAAAAGAGGGUGAUGUCUCCAAAUAAUCAAUAAGAGAUGUCAUUUUUCUAAUUUCAAAGUUCUUCUGGCCCUUCUCUACAAAUAUCCCUAUAAAAACAUUAUAAUAUCAAGUUAAUUUGUUGAUACCAAAAUUUAUAUAUUAUAUUAGGAUGACUAAAUAACAUAUAGAAAGAAUUUUAAAUGAGUAAAUCAAAUCAAUUUUGAAAUCAAAACUUAAUACCUACCAAACUUGUAAUCUUAGUCAUUUAAAGUGUUCCAUGAAAUCUAAAUUAUUAAGCAGUGAAACAAAAAAUAUAAGAUUAAAAUACAAAACGUUGAAAUCAAGAUUCAAACUAUUAAAACGUAAGUGGAGACGUAAGAUGAUGUCAUAAAAAAUAGUGGGAUCCAACAAAAAGUCUAUUAAUCAUUAUCUUCACUUCCAAUCAUGUUUAAAAGGUCACAAGUUCUAGCGGCUUUCAAGGACGAUGUUAAAAAUAAUAAAAAUAAAUCCAAUUAAAUAUUAAUUAAUUUAUUUGAACAAUAGAUAGGACCAAAAUAAUAUUCUAAAAGGAAUCAUAGGGAAGUCCUUGGACAACCUACGACAUUGAACAAAGGUACAGUGAGACAAUGCACUUAGCCCUUCCUUGUCAUUGCGAUGAAUAUAAAAAGACACCCUGAUUGAGGGUGCCCCACUAAGCCAAGAGUGAUUCUUUUGUAUUGUAUAACGUGAAUAUUUUUGAACUUUGAAUGACCCUUCCUAUAGUCAUCAUUGUCAAAACUAGAAAAUCAGAAAGAUGCGAUGUACGAAGGCACCAUUGAAUAAGAGGCUUAAUUCUCUUUGGCAAUUAGGAUAAAGUUUCAAAAUAGAAAAAUUAAACAAAUGUACAGUGUACGGACACUUGGGCAUUGCCUAUUUGUUUUGUUCUUCUAGAGUUGUAUAUGGUAAAGGUCAUAUUGGGUUGGUUCUAUUUGGUUAUUGAAGUCGGCUAGAAUAUUAGAUUUGGUUUCAAUCUAAUCCCAUAUGAUAUUAGAAUACCAGCCCAUACAGAAUUUUUGACCAAAUAUAAUAUUUCUUUUAAAUAUAAAUAUAGUAAUUAAUUUUAGUCUAAGAUUAAUUAUGUAGUUUCCUAAAGAGACCACUUCCUAAACGGUAGCUAUGUGGAAGUUGGGCCAGGUCCUGCCGAGAAGGUUUCCACGAGCUGAGCCCAAAACUGAGUAGCUGUGAUGGGAUCAUUCUAGCAUUCAGCCUGAAACUUGUAACAUAACGGAUCGAGAGGCCUGAACUCCAAGACCAUGGUUCGUCAGCCCAUUAACUUCAACAGCACGCAUUUUAGAGGACUGGGCUUGCAAGGGGUGAGGUUUCCGGGCCGCGACCCCAAAUAUGAACAGCCUCAGAAGUGAUAUUGCUUACUGGCACGUGAAGAGCGCAAGCGUAACUAGAAGAUUUGUAAUGCCGCUUUAAUUGUUUGAUUAUAGAAUCCCACGCAUUACGCAUGGAAAGUGUAAAAGAUAAAAGAUGUAGAAUUUUUUCUUAGAGAAAAGUUCGUUUGGAUAUAGUUAUUGUUUUUUUUUUAAAUAAUAAUUGUUUUUUUUAUAAAUUAUAGAUAAUCUUAGAAAUUUAUCUUUAAAAAAAUAGUUUUUAAAAAUAUUUAAGGAGAAUAAAAGUGAUAAAAAAAAACUUUACAAUUUCAAAUUUUUAAAAAAUGAAAAUUAUUUUUAAGAAUAUAAGUUAAUCUCCUGCAUUUAAAUCUUAGGUGGUUUUUGUUUUUUUUACUUUUCGCUGAAAACAAUUUGUUUUCAAAAUUUAGGUCAUUUGUUUUUUCUAUUUUUUCAUGAUUUAUUAUAAAUUUUUUACUAAAUAAAAAAAAUCAAAAUAUGUAACUUUUUCUAAAUAAAAAAAAUAACGUAUUGAUUUUUCUUUACUUUUUAAUACUUAAUAGAUAUAAAAUACUACAAAAACAAAAAAUCUAAUAUUUAACACUAUUAAGCAUUAAAGUUCUAUUUAGAAUUAAGUAAAAAAACAAACACCACCUUAUAUUUUAUAUAAAAGUUACUUAUAUUUUGGUUUUUGGAAAUAAAAAAUAUAAAGCAUAUCCAAACAUGAGCUUAGCUAUUUUAAAUCAUAUCAAAAUAAUAAUCCCAAUAAGGUAAAUGGACUUUUAUACGGAGAAUAAUCUUUAAGGUUUUCAUUUUUAUUGGAUUUUUUUUUUGUGGUGUUUUUUCAAUCCAUCUUCUCAAUUAAUUCCUUAAAAUUAUUUUACUGUUUUUUUUUUUUUCAGUUUCUAAAUAUUUGAUUUUUCCAAAAUGCUUAAAUGGAAGACACUAAUUUUUCAAGAUAUUUGGUAUUACAAUUUUCCCUGUUCUCCCUAUUAUCUAUCAGAUUCAUGGCCCUUUUGUUUUUUCAUUGGUUUUCAAUUUAAUUUUCCAAAUAUUACAUUGUUGUGUUUUGAAUUUGUGAAACCAAUUUUAUAUAUAUAUAUAGUAUGUAAGUCUACUUUGGGUAACAUGUACAGAGAGGUUUUCAUGUGUUUGAAACCUUUUACCUCAAAAAUUAAUUAUUUUUAAUUUUAUAAUAAAUCUUUUUUUAUUUUUUAUUUUAUUUAGGAAAGCCUAUAUUUAAACUACAUGUUUGCAACGCAACACCAUACAUACUCCUAGUGGAACUUACCUUAGUGCUUGAGGGGGAUGCAGAUCUUCUUCUAAACCUAACUAAUAAGCAUAAAAUUGUUCACUAAUUAGCAUAUCUAGUAAAUCAUACAAAUUGGCAAUAUUUCAUGUUUUUCAUGUUUUGUCAAUAAAAGGCGUCUUGACCAUUUUGUGAGUUUUGUAAUAAAUAAAAAAAAAAAAAAAAAAAGGGCAAAAGGUGACUAAAAUGAGGCACUUUGGAAAGGUUAAUAACCUAAAAGGAAGAUGAAUUAAUACCCCCUUAUUCCUCUUCAAAAACCAUUGAGAAAAUGCAAGAAAUGCUCUUAGUUGUAUGCUAGGCUAACAGCCUAGCAACCAUAAUACCCUUCUUUGCAAUUGUAAGCAUUUUUUUUUUUUUUUUGAAGGCCAAACAACGUUGCAAACUUCCCAAAUCCCUUCUUUAUUUUUUAUUUUUUUAUUUUUGUUUUUAGAAGGAGAAUGAAUUUGAUGACAAACUCCUUGUCAAUCUUAUCCAAACCACGAUCGAACAGAACUCCUUGUCAAUCUUAUCCAAACCGUGUUCCACCUCAAAAACAUGUGUAGGACUUAAGGCAGCAACUGGCAAGCAUGACUGAUAGGGCCAAGUGCCCUUGUCUCUACAAUCCAUUAAGUUAACCAAGGGCAGUGAACCAUCAUUCUUUUCAAAAGCUUCAUUCCGUGUUGAAAAUGUGAGACUGAAGCAUGGUGCCCCCAAAAAUAACGAUCUAUUUACUAGCAGCAUGCCUGGACCCAUUAAAAAUACUCUACUUUAGGAAUAGAAAAAAUUACAUCUUUAUCCAAUAAUUUUAUAACAAUUCAGACGUUUCAGUCUAUAAAUAAUUGUACAUAGUUGCCAACGUUUAGCUAGUUUCAAAUGAAUAGCCUAGGUUCAUGCACCAGUUUGGCUGGUGGAGGAAAGGGAUUCGAGACAUUGAACCCUCUUUUUAGUGUGCCAAAUAUUCCACAAAAAUCACUACCUUCUCUUUGUGUUUGUUCACUUUUAGUUUAUAUUUAAUAAAUCUAUGUUUUCGAGUAGAGGUUGGGUUCAGGUGCGACCCACGUCACCUCUCGGACGGUCUUGAAAAAGGAGACCGGACCACGUAAUUUCAAAUGUAGUGACCAUCUCACUUUUACCUCCAUCCUUGAAGAUGGUUUCCCAAAUCAAUAUUAAUCUUUUGUUUACGACAAUAUCGAUCACUUUAUGUCUAUAUCGUUGUUAAUUUACCUUUUUUUUUUAGCCACAUUAUUUGAAAAUUGAUGCAAACUUUACCAACAUCUUGGUACCAUUUUAAAAUAUUAGAGUUAUUUGAUUAAAAAAAUAAAAUAAUCUCGAUAACUUGUUUAUAAAAUAAAUAUCUUUUAACAUUUAGACUAUUCUCACGCAUGCUUUAAAAUUGUAAAGAUAUUCAUAAAGUGGAACUUUAGACUUAAUCAAUAUCGAUCACUUUAUGUCUCUAUUGUUGUUAUAUUUUUUUUUUACAACAUUAUUUGAAAAUUGAUGCAAACUUUACCAACAUCCUAAUACCAUUUUAAAAUAUUAGAGUUAUUUGAUUAAAAAAAUAAAAUAAUCCCGACAACUUGUUUAUAAAAUAAAUAUCUUUUAAUAUUUAGACUAUUUUCACCAUGCUUUAAAAUCAUAAAGAUAUUUAUAUUCAUAAAGUGGAACUUUAGACUUAAACAUGAUAAUAGUUUUUUUACAAUAUUAUAAUUAUUUUAUCGUUUUAAUUAAGCCCUUUAUCAUACAUAUAAAUGUAAAUUAAUGCUAAAUUUUUAAAGCAACGUAUAACCUUUUACAUCUUUUUUUAAGAUGGUGCGAAAAUCCUAUGAAAAAUAAUAAAAGUCGAUGCAUAAGAAGAUUGUUUUGAUAAUUCAAUAGAAAAAUUCUUUUAAAAUGAUAUUAAAAAAUACCCAUAGAGCCUUUAUUAAAAAAAUCAAUUAUUUUCAUAAUAAAAAUUAUAAUUUUUUAUUAUGUAUUAUUAUUUUUAAGUAUCUUUAUUACAAAUACUUUUUUUGAGUUUAUGAGAGGAAUCAACAGGUUGGUACAAGCUUAGGCGUCCUCGUACAUGUUCCCGCUGUGCAAGGUUUUUGUCUUGUUUCGAGCUAGUCGGAAUUUACGUGUUUGAUAACGUUUUGUCCUAUUUUUGUAACGCUUUAAAGGGCGGCCCACCGUUGGAACAGUUCAAGCCAUCCAAAUCAGCCCGGAGGGUUAUGGCGACGUGGCAUGACGCCUACCACCUUAGUUCACAUGAACCCUAUGAUCGUACUACCCUCACAUGACAUCUGUGAUUCUUCACCUCCAAACCCUCUUUAACUUGGUAAUGUAUUCAAAGCUUCAUCAAAUCAUAGCGAUUAGCGACCCUCUUCCACCCUAAUUUUAUAAUAAAAAAUAAAUCUUAGUGGACAUUAAAGUAGUAUUUUGUGGGGGGAAAGAAAAACUCUAUGGGCGUAUCCACUAAAUACGAGCCAAGUAUAAGAGUUAUCACCAUGGAAUCAAAUUAUGAAGCAUUGACAUUUUAAUUGUAUUCAGAUUUGAGGAGGGCACCGCGGCACCAGCUGGCCCAGUGUAGUCUGCUAGCCUACCCGCCAUAAUGACCAAAUUAAUAAAGUAAAAAGGAUUACAGGGAUAUUCCCAACUUUAUUCUGGGUCUGAGCUGGAACUUGGGAGUUAUCACGAUCAACGGGAAAGAUGGUGGGUAGGGGACGAGGAUUGAGGGCUCCAUAUUCACAUCAGUGAAAAACGAAAUGUAUUGAGACAAGUCUUCUAAGGAUUUUCUAGCGUAUUAUAUGGUUUAAAUGAUUAUAAAUCUGUAGUUACUGGUAAAGAGUAGAGAGUGAAGACGAAAGACGUUGAGUGAAAAGGAAGGAGGAGAGGGGAUGGGGCCAUCUUACCGUGUCGGGGAGGAUCCAUAAAAGGACUACGUUCCCUGAAUCUGUAGGCAUCAUGCCUCGCCUAACGGGUUAGUCAAAAUACAGUGAUGUGUGUGAGUUGGGGGCCUCACUCCUCAUUUCUUUCCUUCUUUUCACCCCCACCCCCACUUUUUUUUUUUUUUUUUCGAAUUUUUCUUUGUCCUUUUCUCUCACUUGCGCACGCGGGAGAAGGACCACAAACUAGACAAUUCCUCUGCUCACGUGACCCCGAGUUUUUAAAUAUUUGCCUAUUUGGAAAAUAGUCAUGAAUCAUGAUCGUUAACAAACAAUCUUCACUUUAUUUAUUUAAGAUCUAUUUUUUGGAGCUCUAGUUUAGUUUAUUAUUAUUAUUAUUAUUAUUAUUAUUAUUAUUAUUAUUAUUUAGUAACUCCUCUUAUAUUAAUGAAAAAGAGAGGAGGAAUCCAAACUUGUUUAUUCUUCCUCUUUUAAGGUGUUUGUUUUUUUUAUUUUAUUUUUAUGCUUCAUAUGUCUUCAAUUUCUUAGCAUUUGUCUUAUAUUUCUUCUUAUCCGAUUCAUUAUUGCAUCCUUGGUCAAUCUUUCACGAGGAGUGCCUACUUUUUUCCUUUUUAUUAUUUAAUUCACUUUAUCUUUAUAUUUUCCUUUUACACUUUAUUUCCAAUUCAAAACGUGUCAAAAAAAAAAAUUGGUAACAAAAAAAAAAAAAAAAAUCAAUUGUAAUGAUUCUUAUAUAAUUUUAUUUAAUUUUUAUUAAACAAUAAAGAAAUUAAAAAUAUAUAAAUUUUUAAAUAAUUAUUAUAGUCUUUCAUUUUUGUGUAUAAUUUCUUUUGCAAGAAAUAGUGUAGGCUUUCCACGGUCUAAAGGAAAUGGAAUAUCAAAUGAGAAGGUAAUAAUAAUAAAGUGAGUUAUAGAUACUAAUCAAACUAAUCCACUAAUGAAUUAUUUAUUUUUAUUUCACAUGGACAAAUCCUAAAAGUUGGAGUUCUAAUUUACUUUUAUGUUAAGCUUUUUUAAGUAAAAAUCUUUUAUUAUUAUAAUUUAUAGACAAAAAGAAACCCAUUAAUGUGAUGGAUAAAAAAUUUCAAUUUAAAAAAAAAAAAAUUAAAGUUGCUAAAUUUUUGUAUUUAUUAUUUCAAACUCAUUUAAAUAAUUUAAAAAUAUGUCUUCAAUUAAUUUUAAUGAAACAAAGCAUGAUUUUUUUUUAAUUUUUUUUUCUUUACCAAAUAAAGCAUUAUUAUAAUACGUUGAUUAAAUUUUCAUCAUGUCUCUCAAGAUUUGGAUUAAAUAUACUUAGUUGUCAUAAAUUUGAAAUUUUAUUUAAUGUAUUUUUUAUUUUAAAUUAAAAAGAUGAAUGCAAAUAAAAAAAAUAUGUAUAUUUUAUAAAAUUUUAAAUUAAACGAAGGAUACGUGUAUUUAACCAAGGUGAAUGAAAUUAAUCCAAAUACUUUUUGGUAACUUGCAAAAUAUCUUGACGAAAUCAUUAUGGCAGGCAUCGUACAAGCUCAACCCUUGUCGCCUUGCUAGAAAUAGAGAAACAAAAAGACCCCCAAAUUGGGUUGCAUCCUAAAUAUGAAGAAGUGGUAACAAAGGAAGAAAAAAUGCUGUGUUAUUGAAUAGUUAAUACAUUGAACAUGAUAUGUUACAUAGAGAGCCAGAUUAAUCCUAGUGGAAUUCCACUGUCACGAUGGUAACCUAGGGUUAUGUUUGGUUAUUGAAAAUACCAAGAAAAGAAAAAAAAAUAUAAAGGAAAAUAAUUUUUUCAUUUUUGAUUGUCUUAUAAAAGAUAUAAAAAAAAAACAAAUAUAAUUAAAACUAAUUAAAAAUUUAGGUAUUUUUAAAUUAUUUAAUUUUUAUAUUAAUGAGCGAAAAUAAAUAAAAUAAGUUUAAAAUAACAAAAAAAAUAAUUUACCGAUUUUUAAUCUAUAUUUUAUUUUACUUUUUCUUUGUAUUUUUUUUUUCUUAUAUUUUCCCUCAAAUUUUCUGAAUCAAACAUAGCAAAAAAGGAGCUACCCCUUUCGAAAGAAACUCCCAAGAAUUUCAAAGAAACCUGCUGAGAUAAUGAAUGAGGGAUCACUGUCGGUAAACAGUAUCCAUUCUUUUGGGAGGACUUUCAAACUGAGAAGUUGUUUUCAUGACUUGGAAACAAAAUUUUGAGCUCUAAGGGGGUCUGUAUUUGGGCCCUAAAAUUCAAUCCAUCAAUCUGAAAAAUGCUUAGGAUAAUGAUUUGAUUUAGCCACAAUCACUAAACAAAUUCCAGAGGAAAAUUUCGCUACUCAUAGGUGGCUGAUUCUCAUAAAAAGACAUCGUGGUAGGGUGUCUCAAGUGCAGGCUCACCAUCAACUUGCUGCCCUUUUUAGAUUAUUGUAAAAUGAUUUCACAUGAAGCCCAAUGCAAAACUUUGAAAGAAAAGGUUGGUGGAGACGUGAAGAAUAUGUAACCCAUAGGCCAUAACUAGUACCGAAGAUUAUUGAACAAACAUUCAAGGUUUUUGUAUAGACGAAACUGAAAAGAAUGUGUACCAGACUCAGGCGUUCAGAUCAGAUGAUGCCGUAAUGUGGAUUGUGGAGGAGCAUUGUGCAGACAGAUAAUGAGAUUCUGAAAGCGAGGCCACUGAUGGGCCCUUGGAAGGGGGGCGUGCCUUCAAAAUUAUAUAUAUAUAUAUAUAUAUGUCAUUGAAAAUUGGAAGCAACUUUUCUUCUUAAGUUAUUUUAAUCGAAGAAGAAACAAAAAGUUAAAAACAUACAUUAUUCUUCCUUCUUACGAGGUUUCCGGGUCUAAAUUACUAUGGUCUCUGCAACUGGCGUCGUUUUCUCUCCCCUCUCUCUAUUUUCCCUUUAUUUUUUCACUUUUAGAAAGAAGCAUCCCAUCAAGAAUCUACUACAACCCUACGCUUCCAUUUUGAUUUAGAAAGUUAAAAAUAAGUUUAAGUUAAAAAAAAAUAUUUUCUUAUAUAAUUAUUUAAACUUAUUUCUUUUCCUUUUUAUAUAAAGAAACAAAUAUUUUGCAAAUAAAUAAAUUUCUAAUUAUUUUCAUUAACAUAAUAAUAAUAUUUUUCAUAUGACUUUAAUCACAAUUUUUUUUACCACUUGUCCAAGGCGGUGAGAGGUGAUAAAAUGUAUUAAAAAAACGAUUAAAUUGCAUUAGGUAUAGAAGUUUUGUGCUUCAAUUAUCACUUAUAAAAAUAAAAUAAAAAUAGUCAAAUUUGAGUGUGCAAGUUGGUAUUCGUAUGUAGAAGGAAUUGGGGGAUUUGGGGGUCCUAACAAAUUUGAUAUGAUUGAUGGAAGGAAAUGAUUAUUAUAGGAUAAAGUCCGAAUGAAACGCUGACGAGGGGGGAAAAACAACAGUGGCAAUGCACUAUCCACAGAUCCAUGAUUGAUUUAUGUUAGCAAUAAUGAAUUAUUUUGACUUUGAUAACCUUGGUUAAGAGAAUUUGGUCUUGUUAUUAUCAUUUUUUCAAAAAAAAAAAGUGUAGGUAACUAGGUAGUUGAUUUAUUAGAAUUUAGAAAUGAGGAUCCCCUCCUCCUGCAAGAGCCGUGACAGACAUGCCUGCUUUCUUGCCAGAUUAUACCAAUGUGCCCAAAUAAUCCCCCAUCUAUCAUCUCUGCACCCUGGAACACGUCACUCCCUCCUUUGAGCAAUAAAAUAUCUCUUUUAUUUUCUUUUGAACCACUCUUCUAUUUCUUUGUACCAGACUGGACCCAUUUAAAUUCUUCGCUACGCUGUUCCCAAGGACUACGAGAAUCAAAAUAGCAAAAUUCUUGAAUCAUUUUAAUGGGUUCAGAAACCACAUGUUUCUCUAGAUCAUAAGAGGAAAAUCUUUUUGGAUGGUGUUUGUGUUGUGUUGUGUUCAAUAUUAAAUACUCAAUUAAAUAAGCUAAAUCAAAUAUCACAUGAAAAAUAAUCAAAUUAAAAAUAGGGAGAAUUAUGUUUUGAGGGUAGAUGGACCCCAAAUUAACAAAAGGUUCAUGUAACUCUUCAAAUUGAGCCCAGACCCAAUGAAAAUAUGGAAAUUGAGUUGAAGUAUAUCAUCAUUCAGUAUUUCCAAAAAUGUCCUUUGUUGAUUUUGAGAAAAAAAUUAAUAUUUUUGAAAAAUAUUUUUAUGUAAUUUAAUAUUUUUUUAAAUACUUUUAUUUAAUUUAAUAUUUUUAAAAAAUAAAUUUAUUUAAUUUAAUAUUUUAAAAAAUAUUUAAUUUAAUAUAUUUUUUAAAUACUUUAAUUUAAUUUAAUAUUUUUGAAAAAAAUUUUAAUUUAAUAUUUUUGAAAAAAAAAUUAUUUAAUUUAAUAUUUUUUAAAACUAUUUUUAUUUAAUUUAGUAUUUUUGAAAAAAAAUUAUUUAACUUAAUUUUAUAAAAUAUUUUAUAUGUGUUCUUAAAGGGUAUAUUUGUCCGUUACUAUUUCAUAUCCUUCAACUCAAUUUAAAGAGUUAUAUGGACCUUUUGUUAAUUUGGGGACCCAUCUACCCUCAAAAGAUAAUUCUCCCUUAAAAAUAUAAAUUUAAAUAUGACAUAAUUAUUAAAUAUGUUAGAUCUUGUAUGAGUUUAUAAGAUUUAUGUUUCAAAAUAACAUGUUUAUAAUUCAUCUAUUGAUUUAUAAUCAAAUUUUAAAUAAAUUAAAGUUAUUCAAGUUAAUAAAUAUGAUUUAUGUUAUAAAGACUAACUAAAAAAUAAUUUAUUAAUUAAACGGAUCCUGGUCAAUAAAAAUUUGAUUUAAAUACGAUCAUACUUAAUCAAAACUUAGGUCAAAUUGUAUUGAUAAAUUACAUCAAAACCUUGUUGUGUUCAAUAUUUUAUAUUAAACUAUUUUUUAAUAAAAUUAUUUUUAUAAAUAUAAUAUUACAUCAUUUGGAGAAACAAAAUAGUAUUAUAUUGAUUUUACAUAUAAAGCAACCAGUUAACCCCUCAUUAUUUUGAUCCAUUUCACAUCCAUAUCAUUCUCAUAAUUUUUUUAUAAUAUAUUAACAUGAUGGACGGUAAUUGAGGGUAGAAAAAAAAGAUGAGAAGAAUAAAAUAAUGUGAAUCCUCUCUAAAUGUUACAUCUUCUGACAAAUGAAGUCUAUAGAAAUGUGUAAAAAAAAAAAAAACACUUAAUUGUGAGGUUCACUUGAUUUAGCAAAAAAUUAAUAUUUUAUUUGUUGUGUGAUUUAAAAAUAAUAUUUUAUUUUUAAAAAUAAAAAAUUAUUUUUAAAGUUUUUUAACACUAUUUUACUAUUGUUCUUUGAAAUAAUUUUUAAAAUUAAAAUGAAAUAACUAAUAAUUUUUAGAUAAUAAAUUAAAGUUGUUUUUAUUAGAUUUUAAAAAUAAAAGAAAAAUAUAAAACCAUUUGAUCAAAUUUUUUUAAACUUAUUUUUAAAAGGUUUUUUUUUUUUUUUUUUUUUUUCUAUCCUAAGUUAAAAGAUAAAAAAUAAUUUUUAAAGAUAGGUUACGAGCAAAUGCCACAAACUUUUUUCUUCUCUUUCCCUUGUUCGGAUAGAAGUGAAAAAUAUCCUCCCAUGGAUCGACAUUACGUGAGCCAUCACCAUUCCCCAACUGCAAUUCAACCGCCAAAGCUGAGGUGUCAUUAUUAGUUUGAACAAAAGUCAGCAUUGUCCACGUGGUGACAAGCGGAACUGACCCAACUUGCAAGGCAAAAAAAUAAAUAAAAUAAAAUGAAAAAAUCAGAUCACCAUUAUGACGUCAGUCCAAUUGCUGACCUGGCCGCCGUCCCCCAUUUGACCCACGUGUUCAUUUAACCCAUUCGCCGUAUGCCGUGGCUCCCCACCCAUAUGGCCAUAUCUGCCAUUUAUUUUAUCCGUUGCCUCCAUUCGGUUUUUGGAUUUUACCCAUUCGCCCUCGUCUAUUCCCAUUUCCGUAUUUGCCCACCAAGGAAAUUCAAUUCCCAUGCUUUUGUUUUACAUUCAAAUCCUCCCCCCUCUAUAUAAAGGAGGGAGUAGGGCUUGAAAGUUUCUCAAGCCAACAUGGACUGUUGAGAGUGAAAGACAGAGGAGCCACAAACAAAUAUCACUCACUCAAACCAAAGCCAAAACCAAUACCGAAUUCAAUUCAAAUGACUUCUUUCUCUCUCAUCAAUUCCCUGAAUUCCGAUUCCGAUUUCAAUUUGUUAUCGGAUUCUUUUUCCUGGGAAAACUCCCUACCUUUCAAUGAAAACGACUCCCAGGAGAUGCUCCUCCUGGGCAUGCUGGCCAGCUCCACUCAGGAAACCUCAGAAACAGUUUCUUUGAAUCGAGUGAAGGAGGAAGAAGUGACUUCCCAGGAAAAUCCCGAGAAGGAGAAGUCAUACAGAGGCGUUAGGAGGCGGCCAUGGGGGAAAUUCGCAGCAGAAAUAAGGGACUCGACCAGGCAUGGCAUAAGGGUGUGGCUGGGAACAUUUGACAGUGCAGAGGCAGCUGCUCUGGCCUAUGAUCAAGCUGCUUUUGCGAUGCGGGGCCCUGCGGCAGUCCUCAAUUUCCCGGUGGAAAGAGUGAAGGAAUCGAUGCAGGAGAUCAAGUGCAUCUUGGAGGAGGGGGGCUCACCAGUGGUGGCCCUCAAGAAGAGGCACUCUAUGCGGAGAAAAAGUCCUUGCAAGAAACAUAAAAGUGAAGAGGUGAGGUUAGAAAAUGUGGUAGUGCUGGAGGAUUUGGGUACUGAAUACUUGGAACAGCUCCUCACUUUCUCUGAGACCUCUAGUCCUUGAUCAUCAUCAUCCAUCACCUGGAUAGCUUCUUCUCUUUGCUCUGUUUCUUACUUUUCUCUCUCUCUCUCUCUCUCUCUCUCUUUUUUUUUUAUGUAAUUUUUCUUAAUGUAUUUUUGGAGAUGGCGGGGGUGUAGUGGUGGCAAUUAUCCAUCUAGAAUUUUUCAAAAGAUAUGUUCUUUUGUUUCUUUGUAUAAAGUUGAAAAGUGGGGAUCAAUUGUGAUGGUGCUCUAUGUUCAUCCACCCAAUUUAUAUAAUCAAGGUGAUUAAUGUUUUUUGAUAUCAACAAUUUGUGAAUGACAUAGAGAGAGAGAGAGAGAGAGACCUUAUUUUCUACACUCAUUACGGUGGUUUCCAUUUGGGGAAGGAAAAGGAAAUGGCUAAGAAUGUUACCAAAAGAAGUGGGGUGGCUUUCAUAUGCGUGGUGGCAUACUUGCAUACAAACUUUUCAAUUGUGUUCUGCAUGCCACUCGGGUCAAUUUCAUUUCUUUUACUCCUAGUAGCCUAAUUGGAUUUCCUUUUUCUCAUGAGACAUCAAAUAAAUUUCAUUUUUUUAUAUUUAAAUAGUUAGGUAAGUUUGAUAGUGAGUUAUAUUUUAUACAUUAAUUCAUCUUUUAGAAUGUUGUCUACAAUAUAAACAGUGUAAUUAAUUUCAUCAUUACAGAACAGUCAUCUUAUAAAAUAACAUAAAAAUUAUUGGAUCACUUGUAUGGCACCACUGAUUUGGACUUGGUAUGGCUCUGUUUGGCUUCAUAGAAAAAAUUUGGACCCAAUUUGAAUGUCUUGCAUAAAAAGAGAUACGUCCCACUUUGAAUGAUAUUGAAGAAAAAAAUUUCUGAUGAAGAAUAUAUUGUUGGCAGGGUCAUGCAGGCCAAUAGGGAAACGAUAAAUUCAGAAGAAUGAGUCCAAACCAGUGGGCUUGAAAAUUAAGAAGAGAAUUGCUGUAUAAAACAAUCAUUUCUUAAUCGAGUUCACUUUCUGAAUAAUCGUCACUUUGAGAAUGCAUACUUAGGAAGAUGAUGAUCCUUAAUGGGAAUAAUCAAAGGCAUCAAAAAAUUGUUCUGGAACAAUUCUUGAUUGUCUCCAGUAAAAUUCAAAGUCAAAAGUCAAAAGUCCAGUCGGUCAACACCAAACCAGGCCAGUCCAAAAGACAUUAAUUUGCAAUCUAGAAUCUAUGAUGAGGUGGCGAAAUCAAACCUUGGCUUUUCACCAGGGAAUGGUACUCUGAAUUUGGUCAGUUCACUGUUUCGAGUGAAUAGGGUGUAGUAAUUAGUAAAUCAUAUUUUAGAUUUGUGUCACAAGUUACAAGGGAUAUGGGCUGACGUUCAAUUUUGGCGACAAUUUGUGGGCCCGUAUAUUUGUUGAGAUGUGGAAAUUGGGUGUGUGCUUUUUUCUGCUACCACAUAAAUAUAUUUCUUUGAAUUGAAGAGUGUUUCAGACCAUUUUUUUUCAAGUCACAAAUGGACAACUGAUUGAGAUUGUAUUGGUGAGAGUAGGAGUUUAUUUUGGGCUGGUUGAGCGAAGUUGAAAGUCGAGUUGGACCUAACCCUUGAAUUCAGCAGACUACAGUCCGAUCCUGUAUUUUGGAUUUAGGGAACCUUCUUUCCCAGAAGCUUCGUCUGGGUUUUAAAGUCUAAAUGUGGCUACUCUUAAACAUUGGAGAAAGGAUGAGCGUUCACAAGCAAAUGGGUAAUUGUGGAUGGUUCAAGGACCUGGCCAGCUGGUCUUCAAGUUUGGAUGCCGGUUUGGGCCUGAGAGAGUCUUUGCAAAGUGACUUCACUUCAGCCUAUGAGAUCAAGAUAUCAUGGUGAUGUCCGAUCACUUAGGUUUCAUUUUCACCUCGGAUUACCGUUACCAUGUUCAUGAAUAAAAAUAAAUAAAUAAAUGAAGCCUUAUAGAGAAAUUAAUGAAGUGAGCUAUACAAGCAACUGGGCCAGGAGCCUACAAGGCAGAAAUUCCCUGCCCUAGACUAGGCCGAAUAAAUUAGAUGAAUGAAUUGGGGAAACCUGGGCCAGCCACACAUCCUCCUGAAGGCUGAUGUCGAACUCGCUUACGAGGAAUGGACAUGGGAGAUUGGGCUGGGACCAAAUAACCAAUUGACAGCCCUAUCCUUGUGGCAAGACGUCAGUAAAAUGGUUCAUUCUGAUUUUACGCUGCCAUUCAAUUUAAUUUUAAUUUUUGUUUAAAGCGAUGUACAAAUUGAAUGGUGUCUAGUCACUUAAAGAGUGGUUCAUAAUACACUUAAUUUAAACAAAAAAGAAAUUAUUAGAUAGGGGAUUCUCCAAUAAAAACCACCCCAUCUUGUCAGCAAGUCCGGAAACUUCCUUCACUUAGGGCGUAUUUGUUUUUUUAACUUUAAUAUUAAAGAAAGUUGGUUAAACCUUAUGACACUUUUAUAUUAUUUUAUGAAUUUUUUUUAAUUUUUAUUUUAAUGGAAUUUUAACUUUAAUACAAGUUGGAGUAAUUCUUAUCUUAAAAACAAAUCAAAAUUACUUUAAUUUUAUAUAGAAAUAAACUUACAGUAAAUUUACCAUGAAAAUUUCUAAGUCAAAUACACCAUAAGUGCUAGUAUUUUAUAAUAUUUAGAAACAUGUUAAAUUAUUAUUAUUAUUUUUUAAAAUUAUUAGUUUUCAUAUUAGUUUUAGGGAAACUUGUGCUUUAGGUCUUUUAUUUGCAAAUAAUAUGGUUUUCAAAUCCUAAGAAUAGAAAAUAUGAGAAUCAACUGUUAAUGUGGAAAAUAAUAUCAAUUUUGUGCAAUCUCUAUUGACUCAUUUUUUUGUGCCUAGAUUGCCUUCACCCACUUCCAUGUCAACAACCACAUUAAUAGAUUGUUUUUUUUUUAUAAAACAAAUAAUUAUUAUGUUUAAAAUUUUGGGGAAACUCUCUAUCUCUCUUACUUCUUCACUACAUCCGAGACCCAUCUUCCUUAAACGUUUGCCUCUCAUUUUGCCCUAACCCCAAAUCUCAUAAAUUUCUCAUUUUCUUGCCUCAUUUGAAAUAUGAAGAUGACCGAUUCUCAAACAUCUCUGUCUCUCUCUUCACGUUUUGACCAGUCUAAUUGGAAACCCAUUUUCCAAAAACCUUCUUUCUUUCAUUUUGCCCUAACCCCACUAUCUCCCUCUUCAAGACCUAAUCACCCAAACUCGAUAUCUAUCUUCCCAAAACCUUCAAGCAAACUGAACUAGACCCAUAUCUUCUUUUUUCAUCAUCAAAGGUGAAAUUUUUUUAAGGCUUUUGGAAACCGAAUUGGAGCUUUCCCUUCUUCUGGGAUUAAUCAUUCGCAAGUGAGUUUUCCAUUUAAGGCUUUGUUUGGCUGUUGAAAUCUUGGGAUCAAAGGUCUUUUAUUUUCAGGUUUCUUGUAUUUUGCUUUAUUUUCUUGUAUAUAACAAUAAUCAUUGUAACAUAUGCUAGUAGUUACCCUUGGUGCAACUUUACAUUUCCAAAUACCCUAAAGUCCAAAGCUUUUAAUUCCCUUUUCAAAGCUUUCAACUUUGAAAGCAGACUAAACCAUAAGAACUAUGAAACUUAUAUCUCUAUCACCACUAAUUAAGCAUGUCUAUGAAUCCUUCCACUUUAAGUCACUUAUUCUCAAACCAAGAAGGGCUCCUCUCAUUCUCACCCCACCUCAUCUAAAUGAGGGAAAUGAUCAAUUGCAGCCAUGCUUUGCACCAAAUUAGAGAAGUGAUCCUCCCAAUCAUCCAUUACCAAAAAUUGAUCAUGCUGAUGAGAUCAUAAGAGUCUAUUCGGAACUCCCAGUUUACUUGCCUCUUAUCUCAGGAUCCUCCAUUACCCCCUGUCUUUCCAACAUCAAAUCAACUUGCAAACAAUUCCUUUGUAGAUAAAAUGUUUUUAAUAUUGCAAAAGGGGACUUAUCAUAAUGGUUGAAUCGAUUUAUUUGAUAUAAUCACUCAAAUUCAAGCUUAAAAUUGAUCAUAAUAAAAUGUUUUUAAUAUUGUUAAAAGGAGAUUAUAAUGGUUUUAUUUGAUAUCAUUACUAAAAUUCAAGCUUUCAAACAUGCUCUACAAAGAAGUUCUAAAAGACUACAAGAAAGAGUUUCCACUAAAGAAAAACAAUGAAACCAUUUCUACUAAAGACAAACAAUGAAACCACAGAUGCUUUGUGAAAUAUGUACCCGCACAAUCCAACAAACUUUAGAAAUUCACAAACACUACCUAGAAUUUUUGCUGACCAGCAAAAAAUUUAUGCAAUUUAAUUCUUAUUGUUAUUAUUAUUUUCAAUGUGAACAAAUAUGAUUGAAUUAUGAAGUAUUUGGCCAGAAGAGGAUCUUGCCUAAUUAUAGUCAUUAAACAACCAUUUAUACCAUAGCCUCUAGACUUUAAAAAGUUUAUAAAACUCAAGGGCUUCCACCCAAUUUCUAGAUAUCUCCAUAACAUUCUUCUGACUAUUAGAAAGCAAUUACCACUUUAAUUUUUCAUUUCAUGAGUGUUCAAUUCAGAAAAAGACCAGGAUCGAACUUGCGAUCAUGCAGUCGAAAAUCCACCUGUGCAUGAAACUAUUGCCUCACGAUUGCAAACUCAAGUUGGAGUCCAGUAACAACUCUAGGUUUGCUGAUGUGCUCCAUUUGAAAUAAAGGAACUAAAGAAUACUUUAUAAAGAUUAAUUACCUUCAUAUUUUAGGUUGGGGUUAAGGCAAAAUGUGAUAGAUUGAGAGGAAGAAAAUAUAUCUUGUUCAGGAAGCCAAUAUUUUGGAGUUCACCUUUCCAUUCGAGUCCACUCUGCUAUAGCAAAAUCAGAGUCACAACUAUGCCUCUUUAAGCUAUCCUUUAAUUGGAUGAAUUGCAGAUUUGGUUGCUGAGAAAGUGGAUAAGAAAGAAAAAUGCAUACUGUAGCUUGAGAUUAAGAGUUUGUUUUCUAAAAUGAGAGAAAGGGAAAGAGAAAAAAUGCAUAUUGUAGCUUGAGAUUAAGGGUUUGUUUUCUAAAAUGAGAGAAAGGGGAAGAGAAAUGUUCGACAACUUUGAGAUGACAAAUUUUUAGAUUUGGAAAAUUUGAGAUGAGUCUCAGGUUUUUUUUUUUUUUUUUUUGUCUUUGUCUUUGUUUUUUUUUUUUUUUUUUGUUUUUUUCCCAAAAACAACCUGUUAAUGUGGUUGUUGACAUAGAAGUGGGUGAGGGCAAAAUGGGCAUAGAAAAAAGAGUCAACACAAAGUGCACAAAACCCAUAUUAUUUUCCACAUUAAUGACUGAUUCUCAUAUUUCUUGUUCUUGGGAUUUGAAAACCAUAUUAUUUGCAAAUGGACCUCCCAAAGCACAGGUUUCCCUUAGUUUUAUGUCUCCAUCUACAUUUUACAUAUAAAUAGAUUAUUUUAUAAAAUUUGUUUUGUAGAUAUAUUAGUUAAUAAUUAUAUAAUUAAUGAUAUAGAAAACAUAUAAAAAUCAUAUUUAAAAAAGAUAAUUACAUAUUCCUCAACAAUCCAUCCCAAGAAUUCGAGGUUGAGUUGAAAACAUGUAGAGUCUUUGAUGUUAUUAUAAUCAUAUCCAACACAUAUGAUUAUUGUUUAUGAGAUAUUAUUAGAAAGUUUGUCUUAAAAUAAUUGAUUUAUUACCCACCUUUAGCAAAUGCCCAUUUUUGCGUCUUUCAAAAUUUUCAUUUUUUUUUUGUUUAAAAGAAGUAUUGUAAAGAAUGAUGAAAUAAGAAAUUUGUUGAGAAAGUGUGAGUAAAUAAUUUUACAUAAAAAGAGAUUUAAUACUUGAUAAAUAAAAUAAUAAAAUCAUGAUUUCUAGUUGUAUAGGGCCGGGUGGAUGGAGUGGCUAAGAUGUAAUUCUUGAAAUAGAGGAGACAACAUCAAUGUAUAAAAGUUUAACAGAGAAGGAAAGUGUGUUUGAAUGACUUUAUUUUCUUCAUUUAAAGUUUUGACGAUGAGUGUUUAUACAAGAUAAAUUUUCAAAUGAUAGGACUCCUAUUUACAUGGAGUUUGUGAUAUACUAUGAUUAUACAAAUUUAAAAUUCAAACAGAUUCAUGAGUUGAUAGGAGUCUGCUCAAUACGCCCCUUCAAAAUGGUGGGAGAUAGCACACCAAUCUUGACUCGAAGGGCCUAAACUCGUGCAGAAGAUGAGGGCUUUGUUAGAGCAUCGACAAGUUGAUCCGUGGUUGACAUAUGGGACACCUUGAGCUCACCUGAUUAAACCUUGUUUCAAACAAAAUGAAAAUCAAUCGCCGAUGUGUUUCAUGGAGAGUGAAACAUGGGAUUUGCACAAAGAUAUGUUGCACCCACGUUAUCACAAGAGAUAGGAGGUGGUGAUAAAUUUGAAACACUAAGUUUUGAGAGAAGAGAAUUAACCCAAAGAACCUUUGAGGCUGUAGAGGCCACGACGUGAUAUUUCGCUUCAGUGGAAGAGCGUGCUAUGAACUUUUGUUUCCUCGAUGACCAAUACACAAGAUUGUGACCAAGAAAAACAAUGGGAGCAUUGGUGGAGGAUCUGACAUAAGGAUUCCUUGCCCAUUCAACAUUCGAAUAUGCAUGUAGAUUGAUGGGCGAUUUCUUAUGCAAGAACAGACCAUGCACCAUUGUGCCGACUAAGUAUCUAAGCAAUCUUUUAACACAAGACCAAUGUGUUGAUGUUGGAUGGUGCAUAAAUUGAGAUAAUUUAUUCAUCAAGAAGGUGAUGUCAGGGCUAGUAAGAGAGAAGUAUUGAAGGCUUCCAACAAUUGACAUAUAUUUAGUGGGACCAGGAAAAGAGGUGUCAUCACACAGAUUUGGAACAUUGUUGAGGAACAUCAAUGAUUGAACUGGUUUGGUAGCCACCAUUUGUGUUUUCUUAAGAAGCUCUCGAAUGUACUUGAGAUAAAAAUAAUCCUUUGGAAGUAUGUAUCAUUUCAACACCAAGAAUAAAAGAUGAAGUCCUGAGAUCCUUAAUGGAGAAUUUGACUGCUAAUUGAGAGAUCACGCGAGCACGAAAAACAUUAUUGUUACUUGUUAAAAUAAGAUCAUCAAUAUAAAUAAGUAGGUAAACAAUGAGACCACUCUUUUUAAAAAUGAAGAGGGAUGUCUCGGUUUAGGAGUUGACGAAGGCUAUUGAGAGGAGAAAUUGGCAAAGUUCAUGAUACCAUGAUCGUGGAGCUUGUUUAAAGCCAUAAAAAGCCUUACAAAGUUGGCAAAUGUGAUGAUGUGUGUAUUCGUGAACCCAGGAGGUUGAAUCAUGUAAACAUCUUCAUGAAGUGUCCUAUGCUAGAAUGCAUUAUUAAUGUCCAAUUCAUGAGUUGAUAGGAGUCUGCUCAAUACAAUGUGGGAGUGUGAUUUCAAAAUUAGGGUAAUUUCGAAAUGGAUUUUGUAUUCACAAGUUGAAUUUCAAAAUUAUUUUGAAAUGGUCUUUUAACUUUAAGCAGUUGUGUUCAAAAGGUCAUAACUUCUUCGUUUCAAUUUUGAUUUACACAUUGUUUAAAACAUUGGACUCUUUACUUCCCGAGCUUCAAAACGAUAUAUAGUAUGCUCAAAAAUGACAUCAGGAUUGGUUCAAAUUUCAUCUUGAUAUUAGAGUACAUGUUGUGAUUAGAUUUUGAGUUCCAAAUUUCCAUGUAAACUUGAUUGCAUUUGCUUCAAACCUCCUUCAUUAUGGUUGCUUGCCCUCUAUCUCACUUUGCAACAUUUGUUACUAGUAUUUUAUGUCCAUGACUUACUCAUUUCAACCUUUCUUGGAUUCUUCAUGGUUCACAAAUUAUGGAUUCUUCAUGGUUCACAAAUUGAGUCUUUCAAUUAUGCAUGUUUAACUCCUAUUUCCUUGGUUGAUAAUGACUUUUACACUUAUCAUUUUCUUUUAUUCUUUAAACCUGAAUUUAGACUUACAAAAAAAAGUUAGAUCCAUAACUAGGGUCUUAGCAUCAAUUUGAGUUAAGUUGGAUGAUUUGAAAAUUUUAUAUUACAUAAAUCAUAUCAUACAUGUGCCAUUGGAGUGCACAUUUUGGCUCUAAUCAUGUUCCAACCCAUUGUUUUACUCUUGCAUGAAGUAUGUGGCCAUUGAUUUUAAUUUUAUUUGCGAUUAGGUUCAAAAUGGUGCUUUUGUGUUGCUCAUGUGUCAUCAGAAGAUCAACUAAUGGAUUCUCUAACAAAACUACUACAUCAUAGUCAUUUUUUUUUUUCUUAAGACCAAGAUUGAGAUCUCCAAUCGGAGCCAACUCCAUCUUGGGGGCAUGUUAGUGAAAGAUAAAAUUUAUCUUUAAUUUAAAUAUUAAUAUUUAUCAGUUAUUAGUUUUAAUUAGAGUAAAAGAUAGAGUUUAAAUUGGAGUAGGAGAUAAACUUGUGUUUGAACUAGAAUAGAAGAUAAAGUAUAAAGAUUUAUGUUUGAAUUAGAAUAAAAUAUAAAGUUUGAAUUAGAGUAGAAGAUAAACUUGUUCUUUAUUUGUAUAUAAAUAUUCAUCAAUUCUUGAGAAGAAGAUUAUUUCAUAGUUUUUCUAUCUUCUUUUUUCUUCAUACAUAUCUGCAAGAAAUUGAAGAUUUCAAGUAAAAUAUUUUCUGUUUUAAAUAGUGAAAAAAGCUAGAAAUUCACUUUGUUAUCUCUUGGGGUAAAUUGACAAGGUUUAACGUUAAGAAGGUGAAUUAUUUUUUCAGAAAAACUGAAGUAGCUAGGAUAUCUGGCCAGUUGUGAUCGAUAAAAAAGUUGUAAAAUCUCUCAUAUACUAAACAGGUUUUGGAUGUUGGUAUGGUAAAUCCAUCUGCAGUCAUUCGUCAUCUCAUCUAGUGAGAUGUUUGGGAGGUGGUGACCGCCGGAUUGGGUUUCAUUUGGUUAAAUCUGUCAGUGGGUUGGCUACUACCCGAGCCUCUUGCUUUGGGGGAGGUGGGUUCUAGAUAUAAUGUUCAAACCAUUUUAGUUAUCAUAUGCAUGACAUGUAAGCAUAAUCUCUUUAUCACUUCUUCAAUGGGAGUUCAUGGUUAGGAAUUGACUUCUUUUCUUCUGGGAUGCUUGGCAUGUAAUGGACAAAGUUACUUUUAUAUCGAUCGAAUUUCUAGUAUUAUAGUGAAGACUUACCCUUUUGACAUUUUAUAUCGAAUUAUAGAAGAUGAAAGGGACAUACAUGCAAUCGACUGACGCUUUAGUGAAUAUGCUGAAAAUAUGCUGAUGCUGUGGAGAUCGUAUGAGGACAGAGGAAAAAGAUAGAAAUGGAUAUAUAAUUAGACCUAGGUUUUUAUUAAAUGAGAUGGGGAACAUAGAGUGAGGGAAAAUCAAAAUUUUUGGCUGCAGUUCACAUUGGUGAUAUUUUGGAUUGACAAAGACUAACGACUUUUCUAUUUUUCUUUUCGGCCUGACUGGAUAGUUGGACAUGGACAAUACAGAAUCCACAGAAGGAUUGUUGGGACCGCUGAAAAUUAGCUAGAAGAAGCUGAGGAAGUAGUCUACGUAGUCAAAUACCAAACACAAAGAAAGAAAGAAAUGGAUAUCAUGGAUGCCUAGAGUUAUACUCCUAAUACCGUCACAGGUAUUUUUCUUUCCUCCUUUUUUUUUCUACGAUAAUUAGAGCAUUUCUCCUCCUCCUCCUCCUCCUCCCCCCACCCCACCACCAAAAAAUAAAAAAAUAAAUUAUUGCAAGUAACACUUCAAAUAUUAAUUUAUACAUUCUAAAGUAUAUAUUCAUGAAAUAACUUGAGUAUCAUACAUUAGUUCUCAAAAAAAAAAAAAAAAAAAAAAAAAAAUUACUGGAAGAGAAAAGUUUAAGAAAACAUAAAAAUAUUCAACUACUAUUUUAAAGAGAAAAUUUAAUUUUUACACUAUAAAUUUGAAGAGAACUUUUACAUGCAUCUUAUAUAAACUACCAUUUUUUGCUAAAAGGCUUAAAUUUGUCAAAAAUACCCCUUAGGUGCUUAACGUUCUGGUCAUAAUAUAAUUGGCAUCUUUUCUCAAACAUAAGGCCUGUGUGUGGGAACAAGAUUUAAUGUUAAUGAGCUUCGCCACCGACAUUUAGUUCCAGAAAUCAUUAUUUUAAUAGAGUGGGCUCAAUUUACAACUUUAAUUAAACUCUAACCAACUGCAUUGUGAAAUGAAUAUGUUUCUUUCGUGGUGAAUCCAAUGAGUUGGGAGUCAAACUUUGCUUCAUUGUGUAUAGAUGAAAUGUUAAGACUCCAUGUAACCUCAAACAUUUCCGCAAUNNNNNNNNNNNNNNNNNNNNNNNNNNNNNNNNNNNNNNNNNNNNNNNNNNNNNNNNNNNNNNNNNNNNNNNNNNNNNNNNNNNNNNNNNNNNNNNNNNNNUUCUUUCGUGGUGAAUCCAAUGAGUUGGAGUCAAACUUGCUUCAUUGUGUAUAGAUGAAAUGUUAAGACUCCAUGUAACUCAAACAUUUCCGCAAUGAGCGGGAGUUCUAAAUUUAAUAAUUGAAAUUGUCAGUGGAACCAGUGGACAAGAGUUGGUUUGUGGUUGACAAACUUAUCCGUUUGAUCUUUACUUGAACAGUUCCAGUGUGUGGAUGGGUACUGAUGAAGUGUGCGCAUUUAUUUUGAGAAGCCUGCUUGUUCGCAUAGAUUUUAACGACAUGAACAUUGUGGUAAGGUUAGAGAGUAAUGCGAAUGUAGGAGCUUAUAUUAGAAAUGACACAAACACGUAAAUAGAAGUAAUCUAUAUAUGAUAUUACUCAUGGACUACAAGCAAAGAAGUACAAUACAUGGAGUAAGUGAUGAAAUGAGCAUUCCUCACUACUACUGCUUGACUGAUGGAACAUGAUGCACGAGAUAGCAUAAGUAGUAGUAGGAAGCAGCUCUUAUUUGUGGCGUCGGUAUACAUCAUACUAGGUAGAUGGUUCAAUUGGCAUGGAUGGGUGGUGGAGCCUUGAAGUGCUUGUGAUGGGGAGCCCACGGCUUCUUCUCAGGAGUUGGUGGCUUCUUGUAUGGAGUUGAUGGAGGUGUUUCUACUGGAGGGUGGCCAGGGUAGUGACCCUGGGGUGGUGAAGGUUCUUUUGUCGGUGGUGGCCUCACUAUUAUUGGCGGUAGAGUUGGUGGCUUGGGCGUUGGCGGUGGUCUCACUACUCUUGGGGGUAGAGUUGGUGUCUUGUGUUUUGGUGGUGGAGGUGGCUUAACAGGAGUUGGUGGCUUGUAUUCUGGGGGUGGUUUCUCCACCGGAGGUGGCUUAUAAACUGGAGUUGGUGGCUUGUAUUCUGGGGGUGGCUUCUCCACUGGUGGUGGCCUGUAAACAGGGGUUGGUGGCUUAUAUUCUGGGGGAGGCUUCUCCACUGGAGGCGACUUAUAAACAGGGGUUGGUGGCUUGUAUUCCGGGGGUGGCUUCUCUACGGGAGGUGGCCUGUAAACAGGGGUUGGUGGCUUCUCCACCGGAGGUGGCUUAUAAACGGGGGUUGGUGGCUUGUAUUCUGGGGGUGGUUUCCCCAGUGGUGGAGACUUGUAAACAGGAAGAGGUGGUUUGUGCUCAUAUGGGGGUGGCUUGUGGUCAUUAGCAAGUGAGGGAGUGGUGAGGACCACCAAUCCAAGGAACAACACGAGUGAGCAAGCAGAAGACAUGUUUGGGCUCUGGUGAUGCACAAGUAGAAGAAAUGGGAACCAUUUAUAAUGCUUCGAGACCUUGGUUAGCACCAAAAUAUGUCAAAAUCUUGAUUACUUCAUUUCAUACAUAGAUUUAAAAUUAUUUCAAUCAACCAUGAUCCUUAAUUUUCUGGGUGGUCCAUAAAUGUAAUGGGGUCAAUUUGGGACCUAACAAGCUGAGAAGUUUGACAAUGCUGCAAGGCUUCAUCCGAAAGUCCGGGGAAGAAUAUUAGGAGUUACACUCCGUUUCCUUUUUUGGGUGCAUUUUUCUCCUUUAACAUUCUAUUCCCUUUUACAUUAGCAUUUGAUCUUAGCUCAUUUCAAGUACAAGUUUCUUGAACCCUAUACCAUUGUCAAAGUUGAGUAACCAUCUCUACUUUGCUCAAGAAACAUAAAAGACAAUGACAAUAAAGAAAAAGGAGAGAGACCAUACGUGACUUGGUUUAUAGGUGGCUUUGUGUUGACAUUUGAGUAUGGAAGCCGACAUGCAUCUUAGCUUCGAUUUUAAUUAAAUUUGUACAUUAGUGUCUGUGUCAUUCAUUUUGGUAUAAAAGGUCUCUUGAUUUCGUAAGUUUGGUAAGAACCGUUGAAAAUAGCAGUAGCAGCACAUGGUCCACUUUCUUUCACAAAAUAAUUUUAAAAGUUUAGAAGCAUAGGAGGUAACAUUAGUGGCCUUGUGGCUCAGCCACGAGUACUAUGUGGUGCUCGAGAAAUUGAGUUUAAUUUCCUUCCGAUAGUUCAUGAUAAGGUCCGUCACUGUCCUGAGACAGAUUGCGUUUUUUCUUUUUUCCUUUUUUAGUGUUUUAUUGACUAGCUAGGUGUGACUUUUCCUACUUUAAGGCACGAGGCAGAAAAGAAACUGGGAUUUAGUGCUUAAGAAGGCAAAUUUAAUUCGAUUUGGAUCUAAAAUUUGCCAGCAACAUGAGAUUUUCCAGCCUAUCGUUGCUCCACAUAUAGACAAGGCACUUGUAGAAGUGGCUUGUUUGUAGCCAUUCCCGAUAUUUGGACUCACUUGAUUCACCGGACACUUUGAUAAAAUUUAAUAUUUAUUAUUUAAUAAUUUAAAUUGAUUUAAAAUUAAAUUAUACCGAAGUUGUGAUUUAAAAAUUAUUAUUUAAUUCUUACUUUUAAAUAUGAAGAUUAUUUGAUAAAAAUAAUUUAAAAUUUAUUAUAAAUUAUCAAAUUAACAUAUUUAUCCUUAUAAAUUAUAAUUAAAACAGAAAAGGUCAAAUGAUUUGAGUAUCCAUAGAUGUGGUAAAAUAAUAAAAAAGAUUAUAAAAACAAUUAUGAUAAAUAAAGAUAAAAAGUAAAAUGAAUAUGUGAAUUUAAAGAAUAAAUUAAUUAUUUUUAUUUAUUACUUAAAAUUAUUUUUGACUUUAAAUUAUAUUAUUAAAUUAUUUUACCAAACAUACUUAAUUUAGUUAAUAAUUUAAAUUUAAUUUAAGUUAUUAAAUUGAUUCACCAAAUACCCACUUAAUCAAAGACUGAAGUAUACAUUAUUUGGCCAAAUGCAGCUAUUGAAAUUUAACUUUUUCCAAACUUAUUCAUUUUGUGGAAAUAUUUUUAGAAAUGAUUUUAAAAAUGCACUAUUCUGUGUGUUGAUUUUAUAUUUUGGCAUUAAUCCAACAUAGAAAACGGUUCUUAUUUUCGCUGUUAAAUAGGUACCAGAUCCUUAAUUAGUGCCGUGAAUCCGGCAGCUUCCAAUGAGUAAUUUGGACUUGGGUAUUGACAAUGUGUGGCCAUGCUUCUACUAUUUUAUUAUUCUUGAAACAUAUAUGAUAUAUUGGACUUUAUACAGGGAAAAAAAAAAAAAAAAGUCUUCACCAAAAAUGAUUCCUCCUAAAAAAUAGACUCCACAAACUAGGUUUAACAGGAAAAUGAUUCUAAUCUAGUAGUUUCCAGCCACAUGAGCAUUUACGUAACAAUAGUAUAGUUGAUAACGACUUUUAUUUUAUUUAUUUUUAAAUAGUUAAAGGGAUAAUUUUUGAGCUUAAAUUUUAUUUUUUUAUUUAGAAACAUUUUACUUUAUUUUUUAAUCAUAAUUCUAUUAUAUUAAUGUUUUAUUUUCUAUUUUUUAAUAUAUAAGGAGAUACUAAAUUUAUGUGAUUAUUUUUUAAAAAUUUAGUAUAUGAAAUUAAAUAAUUGGAUAUAUAUACAUAUAUCAUAUAAUGUUUUUUAAGUGUGAUUUUUGAACUUUUUAGUCAUUUUAUAAGUUUAAGCUUUUGAUUUUUUUUUUUAAACUUUGGUAUUUUUUAUUUUAUAUAAAACUAUUUUGAUUUAAUUUUAUUAAAAAAUAUUGGUAUUAUAAAUUAUUGUAUUAAUUAUUUUUUUAUAUUAUAAUGUAACUGGUAUAUACUAAAAAAUGUAUGCAAGUUCAAUUUAAGUUUCAAAUUAAAAAAUUUCAUUUAAAUAUUUAAUAACUUGUUCAUAAUAAAAAAUUAAACAACAUAAUACAAAUGAAAAGAAACAUAAAAGAAAAAGGAAAAAAUGGUCCUCUCUGUGUGUCACAUUACUAGGUCAUCCUCUUUUUCUAUGACCCUUACAAUAGAAUGGCAUAUUUGUCAAAUCUACUUAUGAAAGUUGGAAUGUUUCUACAUGUGUAGGGUCCAUUGGAACUAAUGGAGGAAAGGCUUAACGUCUAUGUAAAUCACAACGUUGCCUAGGUGGGCAUAGAUCUAGUUGUGUAACAUGAGAUGGUGUGAGAGUACAAUAUAUGCAUUGUAGUCUCUAUGGGAAGAGAGAUAGGUAAUGGUAGGGUGGUAGACGGUAGGGUGAUCUCUAAUAUAAUGACAUUUGAUGUGGUGGCUUCUAAGAGAGGAGAUAUAAGAGAUGGUAGAAUGACAUUUGGUGUAAUGGUCUCUAGUGCAAUGACAUGUGAUAUGGUGACCUAUAAAGAAGAGAUAUAGGUGAUGGUGAAGUGGUAUGUGGUGUAGUGACCUUUGAGAUAGAAAAUAGAGGUAAUGGUAGGUUGGCAGGUGGAGUGGUCUUUGGUGUAGUGACAUCAAUUAUAAAUGUCUCCAAGGGAGGAAAUAAAGGUGAUGGUAGGUAGUAAAUGUUGAGGUGGUCUUUGAUAUGUUAUGCUCUAAGAGAGAAGGUAUAGGUAAUGAUAAUAGGGAAUUUGACAUAGUGGUGUUGGAAAUAAAAAGUGAAAGUGACCGUAGAGGUGAAAGGGCAAGUGUAAAAGCCUCAAGUACGAAUGGAGUAAUUAAUGUGGAUGGUGCUAACAUAGUCUUAGGUGGAUACACAAAUAGUCAUAGUCAUCAACUAGCUUGCCCACCAUCUGUCUUUCUGCUAGUGAUAGGUUACAUCUUAAUAGUAAUGGCCAACAUAAGUGGUGUGGAUCCGAUUUUUUUACGUGUGUCCCCACUCAAUCGACAAGACUUAUUUUUUAUUAGUGAAAAAUUAAUUUUGGAAAAGUUGGAGUCACCACUUAUUUUAUUUUAUUUUAAAAAGGAAAGUAAAACAAGAAAGAGAACUCUAAAGAAGUGACUUCAUAGUUUUGGAAAAGUUAGUCUUAAAAAAUCCAAGUCUUGGUCCGGAGAUCAGGUUACUUAUUGGGAAGAUACCUCUAAGAGGUAAUACCCCUCUAAACCCUAAAGAAGUCUCUAAUGACUAAGUUGAGGAGAAUGUGGUAAUUAAUUAAUUGAUUGAGGGUACCUAGGUAGACUAAGGUGAUUUCAGAAUUAACAUACCAAGCUAGAAAGUCCAAUCAUGAUCAUAAAAGAGAGUCAAAGUAUGUACCUGAACUGCUUCUCAAACGCUAUCAUAAAACAUCAAAGUUAGUAUAGAAAUAUAACACAUAAUAUUUGUUUUAUCCAAGCAAAUAAAGCAUACAUCUAAGCACCCAAGAAUCACAUCAAGUAUGGAUAUAGUCAUCAAUAGCAUACGUGUCCAUAGAACUAUCGAAAGUAAAUGUGGAGGAGCGUAUCUGGACAACAUAGAUAACUUAUAAUGUGCUUCCACAAGACAUGGGGGUUAGAUAAAAGUUAUAAUAAUAAUUAGUAAAUGAAAGAAUUCUAGCAUGUUUGGUAUCUAAAUAACAUAGCAAAAAUGAACAAGAGUACACGAAAACAUCAAUUAUCACACGAGUCAUAUUGGCUAGUAUUUAAUCAAUAAACCAACAAUAAAUGACUAUAAACAUAUAAAAUGACAUAUUCAAAGAGACCCAAACAUAAAGAGCCUAGAACACAAGCUUACACUAAAUUUAGAAAACUAAAACAUGGAAUUUUAAAAGCAUAAAUUAGCAAACAAAUUGAUGGAAACUAAAUUUAGAUAACUUAAGAAUAUUUUUCUUAUCCUUCAAUUUAAAUCAGUAAGCCAACAAUAAAAAAUUAUAGAAACAUGGAAUAUCAAGAUCAAUGGGAUACCUAAACUAUAAUUUUUAAAAGAAAAUAAACUAAGCAUAAUAUCUACAAAGCAACUAAACUAACAUUUUUUUAAAAAUAAAUUAAACAUGACAUUAAUGGAGUAACCAAACUAAAUUAAAGUAAACUAAAAACAUUUAUGAAUUUUCAAACAUGGAAUCAGCUUUCUUAGUAAAUUAAAAUUAUUAAAAUAAAAUCUAAGCUUAAAAAUGAAUUAAAUACUAACUAAAGCAAAUCUAAAACCAAAUAUUUAACACAUAGGAUCAAUUAUAUUAACAAACUAAAAUUUUAUAAGAACACUUAAACCUAAAGUUGAAUUAAAAACUAACCAAUUUUUAAAACUAGAUCUUUAACCCAUAGGAUCAAUUAUAUUAACAAAUAAAUAAUAAAUAAUAAAUAAAUAAAACUCAAACCUAAAGAUGAACUAGAAAUGUACCAAAGUAAAUUCAAAACAAGAUCUUUAACACAUUAGAUCAAUUAUAUUGACUAACUAAAAAAAAAAAAAAAAAACACUCAAACCUGAAACGAUGUAUUAGAAACUAACCAAAGCAAAUUUAAAAUAGAGUCUUUAACACAUAGGAUCAAUUAUAAUCACUAACUUAAAUUACAAUUUUUGAAACAUGAACUAAUUAGUGUUGGAUUAAUUAAACUAAUUAACUAAAAAAAACUAUAAACUAGAAUACGGUGAAUCAAGAAUUCAAAUCAACAAACAUAAAAUAUGGGUACAAUGAAAUGAAAAUCUAUUAAACUAAUAAGACGGAAAUAUGACAAACUCAUGAACCCACAUUUUGAUCAACUAGGAAAUAGAAAUUAAUAGACCUGUAGCAUGGAUACAAUGAAAUGAGAUCAGUUAAAUUUAUUUGCCGAAAUUCUAAAAAACACAUACACUCAAAUAAGAUCUAAAUCUAAGACCAAGCAAAACUCAAACUUUCUCAAUCUAAUGCAAUGAAUCAAAACUAAAAUUAAAUAGAAAUCAAACCAUUUUUUUUUUAUCUAAUAUAAUAAAUCAAAGCUAAAACUAAACAAAAUCGAAUUUUCUUAAUUUAAUAUGAUGAGUCAAAGCUAAAAUUGAACAAAGUUCAAACCUUUAUAUAAUGGAUCAAAGUUAAAUCUAAAUGAAAUCCAUACUUCCACAAUUUGAUAUAACAAAUCAAAAAUAAAACUAGAUAAAAAAAAAGUCAAAGCCUUUCAACUUGACAUAGUGAAUCCAAACUGAAACGAAACAAAAUUUUAACUUUUCCAAUGAAACCCAAUAUAGAAAAAAUUAGCUUACCUUCUUUAGAAUAUAUGUAUGGGCCAUAAAGAAGUCACCUUGGUGCAUGUGUUCCUCACUUUGACGCCAAUGGACGACUUUCUAUGGUAGCAAAUGGAGAUCCUUUUUGGUGGUAACUUGCGUGUGGAAACCUAUGGUACAACCAAUGUCAUCUUUUAUUGUGCGUGUGGACCAAUUUCUUCUCGAGAACUCAUGUGUGUUGUGCUCAAAAUAUGUUGCCUGUGAGAAUCUAUUGGUAUACCCCACAUAUGGUUUCCUUGAGAGAAUCUGUGGUUGUGUGUGGGCGUUUUCUUCAUGACAGCAUGUGGAUGUUCCCAUCUAUGGUAGAUUGGUUGUGAUGCUUUAGUGCAUGGUCUCCAUAGGAAUAGUGUGUUAUGGAAAUUUGGUUUUUUUAUUGGUGCAUGUUGUCUAGACUUUCCCAUAUGCGUGGACUGUGUGUUCAUGCUUUUCUUUUCGGAUGGUCGCCUGUGUUAAUGUGUGGCGGUGUCUACAAUGAAAGAUACAACCCUUUCUCUCCUUCUGCGUGAUAGAAAAGUCAAUCCCCCAUGGUGCGACUAUGUUCCCUCGUCCUUUUUGAAAAAUUUUGGUGUUUUCCCCCCAAAAAAUCCCCUCCAAAAAUCUAAUUAUAAAUGUCUGCUUUGGCCUAAUGUGUGUGCUACUUUUUUUUUCCUUCUUUUUAUGGUUGUGCGUGCUUUUCUUGAUACGUGGCUUAUUUCUUAAGGAUAUGAUUCGCUCCCAAUUGGUGUCUCAGCUGAUUCAUGUCCUUUCAAUGGUCCCUGACAGUGGUGCCAUUUGAUUCGUGUCCAGCUGGUGUCCCUUGAUUGUGGUCCUCAGAAGGGAGUAAUCAAUAAAAUUUAUAACCUAUUACACCAUGUAUUAGGAUAGCCUUAGCUAGCAUAGCAUAGUGGCUCUAGGGUCGUUUAUUGGGAUGAGUUUUCACUUCACAAUUGAUAUUAAUUCAAGAGCUGAAUUGGUGCCUUUUCAUUUCAAGGUUAGCUUUAAAAGAAAACAUAAUCUUUGGUGGAAAAAGGUUUGGUUUUAAACUAACCAAAAAUAGUAACUGAUUUUACUUACAAAGAAAAGUGUUCUUUGGAGUUUAGAUCACUAGGCUCAGGUUCCUCAUACAAAAAGGAGAGUUCCGAUCAUUUGUUUCUUUUCCUCGCAUUAGAGAAUUAACAUAUAGUUAAUUCUCUAACCGGUGCGGUACAUAUGCUUCCCAUUAAUGGGUUCAAACACUAAAUACCUCUCACUGAUGCACCUUGCAAUGGCUCGUGCCUCUCACCUAGCAUUUAUCAUUCAAGGUGAUCUUUAACCUUGGAUUACCCAUCAAAAGCUCGCAAGAGAUAACUAAAGGAUGUCUCCUUAGAGUCCAAAAGCUUACCAAGUGUUGGUUAUUCUAGAAAAUCCUACCUUCAAACCACCUCCCAAAGGCUCGCAAGAGAUAAACAAGUGCAUCUCAAUGGAUGAAGAUCACUUGCCUUACCAAGUUUUGGCCCAGAUGAUUUAAUGACAUUUUAAGUUAACUAAAAAGAUAAAAACCAUUAACGGGUCACACUUUCUCUUCAUUAAAAACUAAAACAACAAAACUUCCAAUUUAUGCAUGAGGAAACUUACCUGGCUUUCUUCACUUCAAGAGAUGAAGAGCCUAGCCACUCAUCAUUUGAGGAAAAAUCCUCAGAGUUUGAUUUGCUAGAAAUAAAAAUAAUGAGAAAACAAAAAUAUAUAUAUGAAAAACAGAGCAAGUUCUCUGUAAUAUAUUUUUCUUCCUUAUACAAAAGGUUGUCUCUAAGAACAAGUUCCCGAGAUCUAUCUGAUUGUAAAUAAAAUUACAACUAUAUAUAAGAGGUUAUUCACCCCUUUGUUCUUUCUUAAAGACUAAGGAAUCCUAUGAUAGGUGGGUUACAAGGAGAGUUUGGGGAUUUAGACAUCAAAUAUCUAAAGCAAAAUAUCUCAAGAUGUUAGUCGGAAAUAUCAGGAAGCUUCAGGAGAACACCGCGACACUGUAUACUGAGAGAAAAACUCUCCGGGUAAGCUCUAUCAAAGGAUCCAGACAUGUCUGACUGGGAAAGUUGAAACGUCCUUCUCUCCCAUCCGGAUGUGAGAUAUCCGGAGAAAGUGAAAUGUCGGUCGGACAGAAUUCUUUCCCCGGGUGGAAUGAGUUGUGUUGCGCGUCGCAAGGGGGACCGUCUGCGUGUACAAGUUGUAGGGACCCCUCUCCCGGAUGACACCGAGCGCGUAAGGCUAUCCGGAUCAACUCCAUUCGGAUUCCCCAAGAGGACAUGUGGCGUGCUCCCCUAUCAGGACUCCCUUAGGGAGAAGCACACGACACUCGUGAACAUCAUACCCGGACGAUAGCAUGUCCUAUCCGGAUGUGUUGUCCGGAUCAUUGACUAAAGUGAGCAAGCCUUGCUACGUCAUUCGGACAGCUUGCCACAUACCAUGUUCCGUCGCCAUCUGAUGGUGUGUCCGAACGCCUUGUCCGGACAUCUUUUGCUCCUUGCAUUCCGGAUUUGCUUAUGACAAAGGACUUCAAAGCUUCGGUUCUUCAUGUUUCUGAGCUUUCCAUUGCUUUGCCAUGGAUUCCAAAGAACUCUCCUUAAUCACGGAUUGCUUUGGUGAUCAAAAAGUUAUCAAAACACAAAAACUUAACAUAGUUUGAUUAGAAUUGAUUGCAAGGGUUCUUAAUAUGUUAAUUGGGUUAAAAGGUGAUAACUACUACUCAAAAGUGUUUAUAAGAAUUAAUUACAAGCUAUGAAAUAACACUUUUUGAGUAGUAAUCAGGAUACAUCCUAGUUUUUCAUGGAAUUGAUAGUGGGUUGUUGUGCAUGAAUGCCACCAUUUCAACUAUGCUGUUGUUAUUUUUAAAAAAAAUAUGGAUUAUGCGCGAGUGGCAAUUCUCCACUAUGGAAAGUGGAUUGCUCCUUCAACCCAUGCAUGGCUACGUAUUCCUAUGUCUUUCUACUUGUGUUUGAUCCUCCAAAAAAAAUUUCGGUUUAGUGCUAGUAGAUUUUAAGUGGUGGAUCCCCAUUUUUUGAAAAUGAAGUGGCAGCCUCCCAUUUCAAGACAAAAUGGUAGCCUGCCUUUAAUCUUUGGAGAAAAAUCUGUGCAUGACCUUUUUUUUUCCCAAAAAAUCCGUGCAUGGUGUCCUUUAAUAUUUGGAGAAAAAUCUAUGUUGGAUCUUUUCUUUUCUAGAAACAUUUGUGUGGUCUUUUUUGUUAGCCCAAGGGUUCUUCUAAUCAAGUUUUGAUGAUAACAAACCAUGGUUAAGUGACUAAUUGGUUUAAUGAUUAAGAAUCUCAAACAUAAAAUCGAAAAUUCAUCAAAGGACCAAAUGGAUACAAGAUCGAGACGCUUGGAAGACUUGUAAUCAUAGGAAACUAAUGUAAGAUGAAUGCAUGAGUGCACUUAGGAUUUUCACACGUUUCAUGCAACUUAGAAAACCCAGUUUAUUCUUUAAAACUUCAUCCCAGUUUAUUCUUUUUAUGGUUGUGUGUGCUUUCCUUGAUACGUGGCUUAUUUAUUAAGGAUACAUCCCAGUUUUUCAUGGAAUUGACAGUGGGUUGUUGUGUGUGAAUGCCACCAUUUCAACUGUGCUGUUGUUAUUUAAAAAAAAAAAAAAUGGAUUGUGCGCGAGUGGCAAUUCUCCACUAUGGAAAGUGGAUUGCUCCUUCAACCCAUGCAUGGCUACGUAUUCCUAUGUCUUUCUGCUUGUGUGUGAUCCUCCAAAAAAAAUUUUGGUUUAGUGCUAGUAGAUUUUAAGUGGUGGAUCCCCUUUUUUUGAAAACUAAGUGGCAGCCUCCCAUUUCAAAACGAAGUGGUAGCCUGCCUUUAGUCUUUGGAGAAAAAUCUGUGCAUGACUUUUUUUUUCCCAAAAAAUCCAUGCAUGGUGUCCUUUAAUAUUUGGAGAAAAAUCUAUGUGGGAUCUUUUAUUUUCUAGAAAAAUUUGUGUGGUCUUUUUUGUUAGCCCAAGGGUUCUCCUAAUCAGGUUUUGAUGAUAACAAAUCAUGGUUAAGUGACUAAUUGGUUUAAUGAUUAAGAAUCUCAAACAUAAACUCGAAAAUUCAUCAAAUGACCAAAUGGAUACAAGAUCGAGACGCUUGGAAGACUUGUGAUCAUAGGAAACUAAUGUAAGAUGAAUGCAUGAGUGCACUUAGGAUUUUCACACGUUUCAUGCAAUUUAGAAAACCCAGUUUAUUCUUUAAAACUUCAAUUUCAUUAAAACCCGAGUUUUUAACUAAUGUACCUUAGGCAAAAUGUUUUAUAAUUGGCUUAAUAAUUCACCUAAAUACAUUUUCUAAGUGUUAGAAAAGAAAGGAAUUAAAAAAAGGUUUUCGGGGCAAAAAAGGCUCAACCGGUCGAGGCUAUGGUCAACCGGCUCAACCGGUUGAGGAACCAAUCGAUCGGUUGUGCUUGUCCGAUCGAAGACCAAUCGAGGGAUGCCAAAAAAUUUCUCUCUCUCCUAGUGGCCUUCUCUUCCCGGUCGAGGUUCGGUCUAGGCAACGGUAACAUGUCAAGCAUUAAAUGCUCCGACGACUAGUGAAUCGGUCGACCCCUAGCCCGAUCGGACGAGGUUGCCUUUUGCUGUUUUUGACUCCCGAGCUUAGAAACCUAUAAAUUGAGAGCUCCACUUCAUUUAUUGAUAAAAGAGAACACUUGCAUUCAAUAGUCUACCUACCUUUUCUUGAUCAAAAAGCUCUCAUUUCCUUCAUAGUGCAUUAAAUCAUCACUUGCAUAUCCUUUAGUGCACUAUUGUGUGUCAUCCUAGCUUUGUUUUGUAUUUGAGCUAUCCUUAAGCUAGGUUGAGGGAUUAUUUCUUAUAAAAAUCUGAGUGUUAAAGCCUUCAAGAGAUUUGAAUCUUGAAGAGAUUGUGUAAGAGCCCAUUGGAGCCGGAGUCCAAGUGUAAGAAGAUUGGAAGCUUGGUUGAAGCUUCAAGUUAGUGGAACCCUCACUCGGUUAGGAGGUUGAGGAGAGUGGACGUAGGUAAGGAAGUGUCGAACCAUUAUAAACCCGAGUUUGAAUUCUCUAACUCUAUCUCUUUAUUUUGCUUAUAUUGUGUUUGAAUUUGUUGUGAUUGAAAAGAUUUUAAAAACCUAAUUCACCCUCCCCCCUUUUGGGUUUUUUUUUCUUAAUUAAGCAUAACCUUUGUUUUCUAAUUUUCUUUUUAGGAAAAUCCAUGCGUGGUAUGUCCAAACUCUCCAAGUGGCAGUCUGCCUUCUUCUAAAAAAUUUGUUUCUAUUUCUUUAUUCGACUACCUUCCAUGUCUUCCUAAUGAGUGCUUGUGCUCAAUGGUCAAUCCCUGGUGGUUGCCUCCUUUUCCCAUAUAUACGUGUUGCAAAAUCAACAUCCCACUAUAUGUGGGUUGCCUCUAUGGCAAGUUCACAUUUCCCACAUGAAACCUAUGAGUUUCCACCAAAAAUUGCCAUGAAAAAGUCUUUAUAUGCAUCUCAUGCAAUAAAAAGUCAAGCCAAUACUCAUCUUAUCUCGAAAAAUAAGUAACCAAAAUCAAGAUCAUGCCUAAGUGAACUAUGCCAAAAGAAGUGUCCAAGUGACCUAUUAUGAAAAAAGUGCCUAAGUGACCUAAGGUGAAUGUGUGUAAGCUGGAAGGUGUCUAGGAUGUUUAGGACAAUGCCUAAGCCUAAAAUAGGGUUGCCAAGGGUCACAAUGGGGUUAGAUAAAUCUCUCAAUCAGAGUCUCCAAGGUGGCUCAUAAAAGAUAAGCUACACGAGUAAUGAUGGGCCACCAGGGAAUUAUUGUAAAGCACCAAACGAACACAUAAUAGGACAUGUGUUAGAAUGAAAAAAUGGAGGGUUUACAAGUGGUCUCAUGGAUGAGCUUGAUAAUUUAAAUGACUCACAUAAUGAACGUAUGUGAUGUUUCUCUCCAAUAACAAGCAAAACAUCACUAGCAAUAUGAUGAAUGUCUCCUAAAUCACUUGAAGUAGUCCUAGCAAAUCAAUUAGAAAAAUCACACAUAUUGCUCUAAUGUAAUAUUAUAUACAUCUGUCAAUGAAUGGGAGAACUAAUGACACAACCAUCAUGUUGAUAUCUCGAACCCUCUAAUCUCAUAUGUAGGUGGGAUCACACUUAGAAACUCAUAACACAGUAAUGACCAAUCUAAGUCAAAAUGUGUUGGUGAUCGGAGGCCCAUGAAUAUGAAGUUCUAGGAUGAUAAUGACAUCUUAUAAAGUAAUGAUCAUCUCCUUAAUAGAUAGGUGAAAUGUGUGUGUCUUAGGACACCAUCUCUCAACAAGACUUGUGAUCAAUCCCCAGUCUAGUGUAACAUGCCUAUUAUGACAUCCAUCGUAAAAUCUAGACUAGAUAAUAUAAGGACAAAUGUGAGGGUUCAUCUCCCUUUCCCACAUAAAUUUAAAAAAUUAUUAUUGACAAGUUAAGACCAAACUAAGUUGCAAAAUAUAAAUAAGUCCAUUAGAUAACAAAUUUAUGUUUUCUCAUUUUCUCAUUUUUAAAGAGAUAUUAUGUGCUUCCAUGUACAUACAUGCUAAAGUCAAUUAUACGAGACUUAUAUCCAUCUUGUAGAACCAAAUCGAACCUAUCUAAUAGAUCCAGAUUAGAAGUAUGUCCUCUAUACUCCAUAUUUAUAACACAUUUAUAAAGAUAAAUGCUAAAAAAAUGUUAAAGAUAUAAAUUUAAUGAACCAUACUUUAUGAUUUUAAUUCUCAAUUAUUGUUCAUAUUUAUAAGAGAAAAGUUAAAAAAAUUGAUAGAGUUUUCCCUCUAUCAUGGACAUUAUCCCAAAUAAAAAUAAAUUGAUUAUGCAAAUUACAUUAAUAUUUGUAACCAAAUGAUCAAUAACUAUCUUGUAUCAAUUUAGUAAAUAAAUUUAAGUAUAUCUUUUCAUUUAUGACUAACAAAUAACUCAUACUUGUCCAAUAAAAGCCACACCUAAUUUCUAAAAUUUUGUCUUCACCUCAAGUGAGUGUUACAUUGAGAAAGAAAAAAUAUGAAAGAAAAAAUGAACACCUUUUUCUUUUAAUAAAAAAAGGCCAUAACGAAACAUUAAAUCUCACUGUUACACCUAUCUUCAAUGGAAACAUGAGGAUGUGAAUGGUGGCGGUGAUAUUCUUUGCUUGAAGCUCAUAAACAAAUAUUCCUUACUAAGCCUAUGCCAUUUAGUAUUUCAAUAGUGGACCCCCCCCCCCCCCCCCCCCCCCUCCUUGCAUUUCAGAUUUAGCAAACUUAGAACCAAAUAACAAAGUGCAUUUGAACCCAUAAAGAAGUAAUGAGACUCUCCUAUAUUGGCAAUAGAAGAAAUUUUUGGAGGUAUAGGAGAUUCACGGAUGAAGAAGUUGGGCCCCAAUUGAGAUAAGACCCAAGAAAAGAUGGGGUAGAGAGGGAUGGUUGGAAAUUGUAAAGUAAGAUUUUCAAAAUGUAGUUGAUGACUAAGAUUUUGACAAUUUAAAAAAGGUUUAAAAAUGUAGUUAGCAAUCGGGGUUUUGUAACAUUUAAAAAAUAAAAUAAAAUCUCAGGCCACAUGGUAGCCCAUGUGAUUCAGAAGCUUGAGAAUUAUUUUAUAAGAAGACUUAAUUUGUGAUUUUUUUAUAACUAUAUUAUUUUUUUUCUUAACACACGAAAAAAAUUAUGAAAUAAGACAAUUUUCCUAAGAAAGCAUGUAAGUGACUCUUGGUUAUUUUAUUUAACUUCUUCUAGUUUGGAGAGGAUUAAUACCUUUGCUUUUACUCACUUGCUUGGAUAUGUACACGUUGUUCAUGUCACUUUUCAUUUAAUUUUCUGAUUAAGGGAAUUGGAACCGUACGUAACUGUCUUUAUUCCCUCUGAAACUUGGACUUGGAGUUGGACUUUCAAUCUCAUCAGUCGUGUUUCCAUAAAAAAGAAGAUGGAUUAACCAAUUUUCCUAUGCCUACUAAUCAUACACAAAACUCCACUUCCAAAUAAAAAGGAAUGGGAUAUCACUUGUUAAUAGUGGCUAAAGACUAUUAAUAACCAUGCAAAGAAAUGUCACAUUUUUUGUUCUACGCAAAUUUUAUUCAUCAACUACUAGAACCAUUUCAUACAAUAGUAGCUUUUCGAUCCUUUGAUAAAUGGACACUUGAUGUGAUAACACCAACUACACCUAUAUAUUCAAGCAAUCAUGCGUAUAUAAUAGUGGAUAUGGAUUACUUCUCUAAAUGGGCAAAAGUUUUGUCAUUCAAGGAAAGUGAACGAGGAAACACAAGUUUACUUUCAUCGGAACUAAUAUUAUAUAUUGAUAUGACUUCCCAUUAUUACUUACGAUGGAAUAUGCUUCCAUAAAAUGGCCUAGAUGAACAAACUAUCCAAGAAGUUUGGGAUCAAAUAAUAUAUAUAUAGUUCAUGUGUGAUUCUUUGGUUGACAACCUUGUUAAGGGGUGAGUGAAGCACUUUGGGCAUACCACAUACUACAUGCUAGACUUCCACCCAAGCUACCCUAUAUUCCUUAUGAACAAAGUAGAAGUUGUCAUCUCUCUUGAAUACCAAAUCCUUUCACCUAAUAAUGCUAUCUAAAAAGGUCUUAAAAAGGAUAAAAAUGCGCAUAUUUGAAUUUUUGAAUUAGGAGUGCUACUUAAAAAGAAGCUAGAUAUACAAUAAUAGAAUGUUAUCAAGCAUAUCUCUUCAAAGUUUUUGACCAAAAAAUAUAUGAUUUCUCAUUUUAGGUAGGAGACUUAGUACUCACUAUUCAAAAACCAAUUAUCAUUACUCAUAAAAACUAAUAGAAAGUUUGGGCCAAAGUAGGAUGGACCUUAUAUUAUGCAACAAUUAUGCCUAUAAAAUUGUUGCAAAAGAGGUUUUAGAAUCAAAUCAAUGAAUGAAAAAUUAUUAAAGCAUUACUAUGCUUGAAGGCUAGUCAUUUUCCCUUAAAGUGCAAUAUUAAGUUGCAUAGUACUAUGUGGAUCCGCAUUUUUCACAUGCGUUCCCACUCAUUGUCGAGACUCACUUUUUAGAAGUGAAAAAUUAGUUUUAUUAAAGUCGAAGUUGCCACUGGGGAUUUGAACCCUAACAAAAGGUUCAAUUUAAGGAUAAAAAUAUCGAUAAUCACAUAUAUAUAUAUUGGUACUUUGAUUUUAUGAAUAUAUUGAAGAAAUAUGGACAAAUAUUUUGACACAAAAUAUGUACAAAAUAAAAAUUAUAUAAAAAGUAAAAAUAAAUAUUUUAAAAUUAUUUUUUUAAAUAUAUAUAUAUAUAAUUUGACAUAUUUGAUAAUAAUAUAUAAGGGUCUCCAAAAAGCCCGUGGCCCGCUUUAGGCCCGGUCCGACCCGACAGGCUAAAGCCCGGCCCAAGCCCGCCGGGCCCAAGCUCGGCCCGAGCCCGUUUAUGGGUGGGCCGGGCCGCGAGCCCGUAGGCCUGCUCCUUUAAAAAAAAACUACAAAAAUAAAAAGUAUUAAAAAAAAUAUUCAUUUCAAAAUUUUAUUCAUUGAAUGUAUAAUUACAUUUGAAAAUGUGGGAAAAGUUUACAUCACUACAAAAUAAAUACAUCCCAACUAGGUUGGCACCUAUUUAUUUGUCAAUCAUCUGUAUUUUUCAACCACAAAAAAUAAAAAUAAAAAUAUAAUAUACAUUUAGUCAUUAUUUUCUGGCGGUGAUGGCGAACUAUCAUGCAUCCAUGAAGAUCUUGAUAAUUUUAAAGAUUCCAUAUCGGUAAGCAUCUUUGUUUCUCGAAUGGAAUCAUACAUCCUUUUAUCUGCUAUUUCCCAAUCUUUCACACAUAUCCCUGCUUUAAUAACAUCUGACGCUAAGUUGCAUCGUUUUUUACUAACUACUCUUCCACCUGCACUAAAAGCAGCUUCUGAUGCAACUGUACUCACAGGAACUGUUAGUACAUCACGAGCAAUUAUAGAAAGCACAGGAUAUUUGUGUUGAUGUGAUUUCCACCAUAUUAAAAUAUUAAAAUCUUCUUGAUCUUCAAAUGAAAUUAUAUCAGUAUUAAGAUAUUUAUCUAAAUCAGAUGUAUUAUUUGGAGAAUUAUUUGUUGUCUUUUUUCGACUUUUCAACAUUUCUAGAGCUCCUUUAUAAAAAGAUGAGGAGUUUGUAGAUGUAGGUGGUAAUUUAAUAGUAUUAAUAUCAUUACCAUAUUUUUCUUUAUAAUAGUUAUAUAAAUUAUAUAAUAAUGAAUUUAUUUCAUUUUUAAUUUCUUCAAUUUUUAUUUGGUCAUUAAAAUAAAUAAUUGUUAACCAUUCAUCCAAAGCUUCAAAUUUCAAUCUAGGGUCCACAAUUAAAGCAAUAUAAAAAAUUAAAGGUAUUUCUCCCCAAUAUUUUCUAAAUUUUUAUAUCAUUACAAAUAUUGUAUCAUUAAAUAUUUCAAAACUUAAAUAUUUUUGAAGUACAAUAAAAAUAUUAGUUAUUUGCGUAAUAACUCGAUUUGAAGUUGGAUAAUAUACACCACAAAAAAUGUUUGUUGAAGUAUCAAAAAUUUCAAAAAGAUCUCUUAAAACAUCCGCAAUAUGCCAAUCAUAAUCAUUUAAUGCAUAAAUAUCUGCUUCAUAAUCAUUGUUAAUUAAUUGUAUUUCAUAUAAUUCGACUACUUUUCUAUAUUUUGUAAUAUUUUCUAAAAGUUUAUAUGUGGAAUUCCAUCUAAUAGCCAUAUCCAAAUUUAUAUUUUUUCUUUUCAUAUUUAACAUUUUGCAACAAUCAAAAAAUAAUUCAUGUUUUGCUUGAAAACUAUUAAUACUAUAUGCAAUGCCUCUAAUUUUUUUCCAAUGUACUAUCAACAUUUUUUAAUCCAUCCUUUACAAUUAAAUUUAAAAUAUGUGCACAACAACGCACAUGAAAUAUUUUAGCAUGAUCUUCUUUUACUUGCCAAUAUCGUUUUAGUCUAUGUAUUGCUGCAUCAUUAUUAGCAGCAUUAUCUAAUGUUAUUGUCAAUAUUUUAUCACGAAUGCCUAAAUCUAUAAUUUCAUCAUUUAUUAAAGAUGCUAUAUUUUUACCACUAUGUGGAGUAUUUAUUAAUUUAAAUAAAAUUAUUCUUUUAUUUAAUUUCCAUUCAUUAUCAAUGUAGUGAACAAUUAUAUAUAAAAAACCAGUAUGAGUUAAAGAUGUCCAAAUGUCAGAUGUUAAACGAAUAUUUCCUUCAAAAUUUGCAAAAUUUUUUUUUAAAAUUUCUUUUUGUGUAUAAAUUUUUUUCAUAAUAUCUCUUUUAACUGUAUUUCCAGAUCAACCUUUAAAUUGAGGAUUAAUACCUCGUUGAAUUGUUCUUGCAAAAUCAUGAGUUUCCAUCAUGUUGAAAGGUUGUUCUGCUCUUAUUAUAUAAUCAAUCAUUUCUUCACAACAGUUAGAUUCAUCAUAAGAAAAUGUUUUUAAAUUUCCACUUUCAUUUUUACUUAAUUGCAUAUAAUUUCUAAUAUCUACAUUAUUUUUAGUUUUACAAUUUUCAUGAUGUCUUUUUAAAUGACUUGUAUCUGCAUUUGAGCCACCAGUAAGAAAUUUAUUACAAAUUUUACAUUUUGCUUUUAUUUUUUUUUUAUUAUUUUCUAAAAUUAUUUCUAUUCUAUCAAAAAAAUUCCAUAUAUUUAAAGUAAAUUUUUUGUUUGAUGAUAUUUCAUCACAUGGACUAGACGAAGAAGCACUUGUCAUAUUAUAAUUAUUGAUAAAAUAUUAUGCCAAAAAUAAUAAAGUAAUAAAUAUAAAAAAAAAUGUAACAAAAAAAAUAAAGUAGUAGGGGUGAAGUAUGUUACUCAAUUAGAGAACCUAUGCAGAAAUUCCUAGCAAAUUUGAACUCUUGGAGCCACCAAUGCUUGUUUUGCACCAUCAACAAUAUUGUAUAAUUUGAGGGAAAAAUAAAAGAAUUUAAAAUAUUGUAGAAUGUGAGAGAAAUAGAGAGAAUUUGAUGAAAAAAUGAAAAGGAAGAAAAUGUAUUUAUAGGAAGGUUAAAAAUAAUAAUAAUAAUAAUAAUAAUAAUAAUAAUAAUAAUAAUAAUAAUAAUAAUAAUAAUAAUUGGCCAUGUGACCGUUGGAGGCUUAGCUCCAACGGUCACAUGGGCUGGAGCUAGGCUCCAACAGUCACAUGACCGUUGGAGCCUUUAAUUUUUUUUUUUAAAAUAAUAUACUUUAUUUUUAUAUAUAUAUAACUAACUCAAUUAAUAAACAUAAAAAGAAUAUAGUUCAGUUGGUUAGAACCUUGAAGUUUAAACAUGAGGGGAGGGGUUUGAAUCCCUCCCUCUCCCUUAGGGGCUUUUUUAAAAGCCAUUUUGGCUUAUUUCAAAAAGCCUGUCGGCCCGACCCGCCCUGCAGCCCGCGGGCCUAGCAUUUUAGCAUGGCCUGGUCUGUUGACUAGUCAAAUGGCUCAUAGGCUCGGCCCGAACUGGGCCGCGGGCCUCUUAUUUACGGACCGGCCCGACCCGGCCCGCCCGUUGGAGACCCUUGAUAAUAUCUUCUAUAUUAAGUUACAUUAUAGUUUAUUUUACAAUAUUAUUAUGAUAAUAUGUCUAAUUUUAAAAUAUAUUUAAUAUUAAAAUUAUGAUCUAUUUUAAUUUAAAUGUAUUCAAUGAUAUCAAAUAAAUAAUAAUAUAUGUAUAAUUCUUUUAUUAUUUAUAUUUAUUAUUUUUAAUAAAUAUAUAGAUUAUAUAAAAAAGACCGGAUAUAUCUUUUCAAAUUUUGUAUCGCUCUCCAAGGAUAUUAGAUGUAUGGGAAUUUGUAUUGCUAUCUACGGAUACGUUGAUAUAUGGGUGAUUUAUCAGGAUAAUUAGAAAUUCUAAUUAUGUAAGCAGGUACGGAGUUCUGUGUCGGUGCGAUCUUGUCGACAACAGCUCCAAAUUGUGCAUCUUGCUCAUAGAGAGUAGCGGAAUGCACCAAUCGUAGGCUCAGAGUACCACUGAGUCGUCUGGCAGAGACCCAACUGAAGGUGCCUGUGUUGUUCCUGAUCUGAUCAGGCUUCAAACUACAAGGUGGAAUACUGGUUCCCCUAUAUCAGAAGCUGGAGAUACCCACCCCAUAUGCUCGUCUGGAUGUGCUCCUACCCUUUGAAGCCUUCUUCCGAGUCAAGUCCGAAUUGAUAAGGCUAGUGAGUUCCCAACCAACUGUACUCAGCAUGCUGCCAGGUGGAGACCCUCCAUAUUUGAUGGCUUCCUAAUAUUAAAAUGCUGACCACUGGUCUUCAUGUUCCACAGGCUUAAUUGUGUCCUUUGCUGAAAGAAUGGAUAGUGAUCCAUUUUAACACAUGAUUCACGCCGUCUUUGCCAUUCUUCAUGGUCUAGCCCUUUUAUAUAUAUGCUUCCUGAACUGUUGCUAUUAAUAAAAUGUGGUAUCUAUCCCGUACACCUUCCUGAUGGCCAGCGAAUGCAGAAGCUACAGAAACGGUUCCAUCUUUUGCUUCCGCCACUUUGGCAUCCUCCAUGAUGAGAUCGAAGGUGAAUAAUCAUAUUCUGGGGAUUUAUGUCCUGGAUAUUCUCAGUAAUGCCCAAUUUCCUGGUGCCGGCCUCAUUUCCAUGGGAACUGAUGGAUAACUUAAGGCUUCUACCAUCUGCGUGGUUCGCUUCUAACACAGGAAACUUCACGGCUAAAAGCAAGAUACCAAGAACAUCAAGGCUGUGACAAAAAUUAGUAUUUUUAACUUGUAGGAAUUUGAAAGGCAACCAACCAUCUAGCUCUGUUCUUAAAGCUCCCAUAGGAGGAUCAGAGGCUGGAUUGCUCAAGAUGAACUCAUCCAUUGUUGCACUUAAAAAGAAUUGGCAUGAAUUGUGGCCGCUCUAAUAGGUUCCCUAAACCAUCAUCCAAGUGGGCUUGCGGAAGGUAGCGAGUUUAAAACACCUAGGGCGAUGAACAGUGGACUGUGAUGCUCACAAAAGAGAAAAGGAAGAAUUCAAUAAUUCCUAAGAAUCCAUUUGCCUGUCAUCCAAAUUUUUAUAUUCUCUUCAGUCUGACGCGUUAUGCCAUAUAUUAAAAAUAGCGGCUUCUUCCAAGCCGAGACAGACUGUGCAAAGUUCGCAAGGCCAAUCAUCACCAUAAUCUGAAGUUGGCCUCCUCAAUCGCAGCUUGUAUCCGAAUGCUCACUUCACGGGAUGGAUUGUAAUGAAAACUAAUCUCAGUCCCAGCUAUGGCAGCAUCCUCACUUGACAGCAUUUUCUGCAUAUUCUAGAACAAAGCAAUAAACCCUCAAAGGCUCCUUCGGAUCAGAGUUAGAAGACUGUCCCUCAGGAACGUGAACACUAUGGUGGUUCUGAUAAGCAGUGAUAUUGCAUUAGAGCCUUUUGGAACAAGAGGAUCUUUUCAGGUGGAAACUGUAAAC